rnacentral:lncRNA from 1 species
AAAGUCACAAAAAUAGCACUUGAUGUUUUAUCAAAAGUCACAAACUUAGGGUUUAGAGUUAAAGGGUGGGGUUUAGGAUUUAGGGUUUAGAGUUUAGGGUUUAGAGUUUAGGGUUUCGGGUUUAGAGUUUAGGGUUUAGAGUUUAGGGUUUAGGGUUUAGAGUUGAGAAAUUAGGUUUUGGGGAUAAGAUUUCAAAUUUUGGAAAAUAAAAAAAUUAAAAUUUUCAAAAGAUAAAAUGCUAUUUUGGUCAUUUUAGAUUUUGAAUGCUAUUUUUGUGAUAUAAACUUAGAAAGGCGCUAUUUUGGAGAUUUGCCCAAAAAAAAACCUCAGAGAUUAAUUAGCCUUCAGACUUUAGGAUGAGCUAUAAUAGCUUCUCUGGAGAUUUCGCUAUUUCUGUUGGAAAACUUUAGAAAUACAAGUCCGUCUUUACUGUACAUAUAGCUGAUGAAGUUGCUGCCGCUGAAUCGAAUCGAAUCGAAUCGUGGGUGAGGUUCUUGCCGUGUUGGGAAUAUUGUAUUUGAAUACUUUAAGGCUCUGUAAUAUCCAAAUUAUACGAGAGCAACUUUAUUAGGCGUUGAGACACAUAUACUUCUUUUUCUUGUGGCUGAUGAACAACAGUUUCCCAUGGAUCAACAUGUCGGAACCAAUGAUGAAUCCAACAAGUAGAGUGAUUCUGUCUUCACAAAUUUCAGCCGCAGAUUGCUAAUUUUUUUUAUUUUCUUUGUGUUGAAUCAGGAAACCAAGAGUUUCUUAUAUACACGUGGAAGUUUCUUUUAUCCUUGAGCGAUAUUAUGGGUCCGAUUGGUAAUGGCUGUAAAAUUUUAUGGAAAGCACUAAAAAAUUGCUUUGGAUAUUUGGCUCUGCAGAGCACUUGUACAGCUGUAGGUUAUUUUAAGAGCUGUGGUUUCAAAAAAAAAAUAGGGUUGUGGACAGCACCUACCGCAACUACCAAUCACAUAGAUUUUUUUAAGAAGCUUCCAAAUCUUCCAAGUGAAUUUAAUGAUUUACUCUUGCGGUGAGACUAUAUUUUAUCUGAAAUGUAUUUUUUAUGUAUGGUUUGGAGAGAUAUGUCUUGAUCUGUACACUACUCUUUAUAUGUGCAGUGACUCCCAAGAUCCUUCACCCGAGCUACACAGAAUUAAUGGCGAUUUUGUUUCUCACGGCCUGAGGCGGAAUGACUAUAGUUCAUCGCCUCCCACAAGGGGUGAAUUUGGUAGAUUGUAUAAUUUGGCACUCAUGGAAGAUGGGAAGGGCGCGCAACUAGUCACAAGAUAAACUUGUAAUCGCAUGUUCAUGUACUUGCAUUACGUAUGGAAUUUGACCUGACAAAUGUCUAUAUCCUUGUAGAAAAUUGUUGAUAGAGUAGAAGAGACACAGAGCCCUCAGACUGUUAAAUCGUCAAAGUUGGCACAUCUAUAUCUUGAAGAAGGUAAUCAUCAUCCACUGAACAAUAAUAAUGCAGAUAACAAGCCAGACGUAGAUCUCCCAUCCAGUAGGCCACCAGGAGGGUUACUGUCACUACUUCAAGGUGCAGAUAAAUUGCAAACCUUUGACACAAAAGCAAAGGGUGAGCUUUCGAUGGAUUUUCCUUAUGAAGGCCAUCCCACUACAAACGUUGAUAAGUUAAGCGCAAGUAAAUCAGUAACAGCUGCUCCACCAGUUAUCAUCCUCCAGUUGACCAAGACUUGAGUGUUUCGUCAGUGAAGAAAACCAAUCAAAGGGAAACAUCUGUUGACAACCAAAGCUUCCCAGCACCUUCUUUCUUUAUUACAGAGAAGUGCAGACCCAAAGAGUCAAGACACGCUGCUACUUUCAGUUACAGAUAGUAGACCACCACCUACAGCUGGAGAAGCAAAUCCGGGGAAGUCUUUGACUCUUGAGAAUCUGUUUGGGAGUGCCUUCAUGAACGAACUGCAGUCAAUUGGAGGACCUGUCUCUGUGGUUUCUGAUGCUCCUGGGGUCCCGCUUCGAUUAGAGAGGUCUAUCGGUGAACUGAGCCAAAGAAAUCAAACGAGACCUGACUGUUUCCCCGGAGGUAAUUUAAUCGCAGCUGGCACAAAAAUACAUGUCUUCUCCAUGACCGCGUAAUCAGGAGCCUGAAGUAACUUUCAACAUCUCUGACAAGCUAGCUGCUUUAAACUCUGGUCCAAGGAGUGAAAGACCAAUAAUGGGAGGUCAAGAUGGUCCCUUUCUUCACCAUCAUCCUCGACAGUACGCAACCAACCCCUCUUCUCACUUGAAAGGUUCAGGCCUAGUCUUCCAUCCUUUGGAUACUCAACAUGCUCCUCAUCAUGGGCCAAGGAAGCGUCAUAGCUCAACAUCAGGAUCCUCCACCAAGCAUGAUUCAUCGCCCACCUUCAGCAACUAGUGGGCUUCCCGAGUUUGAUCGUCUUCCUCCACAUAUGCAAGAUAACCUGCAACGCCAUCAUCUAAUGCAAGGAUUCCCCAGUGGUGGUCCACCACACCAUCACUCUCCUAAUGUGAACAACCAAAUUCCGGGUCUCAUCCCCGAGUUAAAUCCAUCACAAGGCUUUCCCUUCGCCCAUCACCAACCCAGCUACGGUAUGCCACCACAAGGUAUAACAAAUGAUAACCCAAAUCCAUUUGCUACUUUGCCCUUUAAAGAUUCAACUUCCGCUCAUUUAUUCCUGGAUUCAAAAUCUUGUGUAUUUGGUCUCGAGUCAGUCUUAAUGUCCAACUAUGAAGGGACUAGUUGAUUUUGUAUUUGGUCUCUUAAAACACUUUUUUUUUUCAUUUUGUGGCUUUGCAAGUUCUCAAGGCAACAGAGUUGAUCAUCCAGCUUCACCGGCAAUGGGUCAAGCUGGUGGUCCUAAUCGUCAAGGCUCAAUGGGUCAGGAACUUAACCUUGGUUUUGGAUACAGGUAACUCUGCUCUGCCCACAAUCCUCUUGACAACCCUAAGAGGUGUCUCUGCCUAACACUAAGUUGCUUUGUGAUGUGCAAGUAGUCAAAUUAUCAUUUGAAAAAGAUGAAAAGAAGAAAAAGUAUCUCUUGCUUGCUGCUAGUGAUGUGGAUGCUUUUAGUGUACAGUGUGGUUUCGAGUCCGUGUGGUUGGCAUUGUCUAUUUUAGGUUUCUGUUCUUUUUUUAUAACCCGUUGAUCAGAUCUCAAUGGCUCCAUGUGUGUCAAAUAUAAGUGUGACUUAGGUUUUUGUUGAUGAUGAUGUACAACAAAAUACCAUUGCUGCGAGGUCAUCUCUCAUGUUAAACCUUCUAUCCUUGAUCAUGGGAUUAUCACAUUUCUUCUGAGCAUUAUUAUCCUCACCCUUCUUAUCUUCCAUAUUAGAAUCUGGCAUGCCAAAAAAAAAAAGAGUUCCAGCGUACAUGAUCCAAGAUUAGUACUGCAAGUCUUUGAAACUUUUAUAUCCCUUAGAGCUCUAUUCUCACUCUCUUCAGUUACCAUCUCAAGUUCUCUCACUCGCUUUUGUCAUCUCAAUCUGACAUGAGAUCUGUUCUUGUGUUUGAAACAGAGAAUAUCAAACGCAAGAACAGAGAGAUAAACCUAUAGUCUAUCUAUCUUCUUUUCCAAAAGUUUCUUUAGAAGACCAAGUUUUGCCUCUGCCCAGCUGAUUGCACUUAGCUAGGACUCCUGUUAGAGGAUAUGUACACAAGAAUGUUUUACUAGAGUUCAAAAAAUAAAAUUUGAAGACUUGGGAAAAUAAGAGAGGAAGUAAAAACAUGGCGUGAGAGAAAAAGGUUGAAAUUUCAGAGGAGAGUGAUAACAACCAAAGCUUUCUUUUUAUUUUAAAGUAUUUAAGAUUUAUUUACAAACCACAAAUCACGGCGUCAAUUACAAGUUUGAUUCAACCAAAAUGUAUUUUAAUCAUAUUUGGCUAGACUAGCUUCGUUCACUCAAUACAUCGAGGUUCCGGUAGUCAGAUCCGUAGUCUUUAAAAAAUUAAUCAUCGUUUUUAAUCGUUGAUGGGUAACCAAUAGAGUUAUUUUUAUUUUUUCUGAUGCCGGUCAUUUCAUGGUAUCAAUGGAAUAGUUGAUUUUUGAUGAUUUUUUCAAGCUCACAACCAGCAACCAAAGUUGUAUCUUUAAGCCCAGCGUUUUAAGACUUAUGGCCCAUUGAUUGCUGUUUACCGACUUAACUUGUGAGUUGUCGAACUACCAACAAAAUCACAUUAGUUGACACUUGACACACAAUGUUUAAAUCAAUACUCUAUCUUGAUUUUAGUAACGUUUUAAGACUUAUGGCCCAUUAAUACUACUCCCUCCGGAUACGAACGUAAGAUGUUCUAUAUUUUUAUCUUGUAUACAAAUGUAUGAUGUUUUGAGAUAUAAUUAAUGCAUUUAUUUUUAAAAUUUAAACAUAAAUUAAAAAGUAAAAUUAUGAGUGGUGAAACUUUAUUGAUAUAAUCAAAAAGUAACAACUAAAAUAUUGUAUUUAUUGUUUCUUAAUAUGUGUGUAAAACCUUAAACAAAGAACAUUCAAGAAGAGGUUGCAACGAAACUAGGCUUGGCUGGAGAGGAUUGGAUCCUCAAAAAUGAAGACCAAAUGAAAAUAUAUUAAAUAAAAUUAAUUUUUAUAUAUAGAUAUUACUAUUUUUGAAAUAGUUAUUAAUAAAACUUACGGAUCCGGAUAUCCGGACUAAAAAAUAAAGAUAUCCGGAUCCGGCUUUGAUGGAUCCAACAUUUUACUAUCCGGAUCCGGAUCGAAUCUCGGAUCGAAUCCGGAUCUCGGAUAAAAAUCUCAGGCUCAGUGGAGCCCACUUGUAGCGUUUCUUUAAAAGAAACUGUUCCCUUACGGUUUCACGUGGCUUAUGGACCAGACUGGGUCUUGAAAAUCUCGACCGUCCGAUGAGCCGGGACACUAAGAAAACCUAGAUGUUCAGAUUUGACCGUCGGAUGGUUGACAGAAAGGAGAAAGCUAGAGAAAGAGUUCUAAGGUGGGGGACCCAAAAGGUUGACAGAUCACUUUUAUGAAAAUGUCAACUUUUUUACGCGCGGAGAUUACGCGCUCUCGCCGGCUCGCACGUGUGCUACAUUCUGCUAUAGGCCUAAGCAUUUUAAUCAGAAUCCAAAAAUGCGAACCGAAACCGAUCCGAAAAUAUCUGAUCCAGAAACGAACUGAAAAUUUAUAUAUACCUUUUGAGUCCAAAUUUCUUUUACCCGAAAGAACCAUAACCGAAAGAUACCGAUCCGAAUAGACCCAGACCCGAAAAGAACCGAUCCAAAUAGAUCUGAUCCGGGAAGAACCGACUUGUACCCAACUUAAAAACAUGUAUAUCCAAAAUUAUGAUUUUUUGUGUUCUAUUUUAUAUAUAUUAUUUUAUGAUUUAGUUAAAAUAUCUUUUGUUAACAAUAUUUGUUAUUAAUUUAAGUUAUUUUGUAAAAUUUUAGAUAUAUAUGACAAAUAUGGACUAAAUUUAAUGGAGUUUGGGUAUGUCGUGUCCUUUUCAAGUCUUAAAUACCUAAAUCCGAUCCGGAUUCGAUAUGGACCCAAAAAGUACGGAUAUUUUAUAAGUAUUUUAAUUAUAGAUCUGAACCGAUCUGGACCCGAGAAGAACCGACUCAAAUCCAAACCGAAAAUUUAUAAGUACCUAUUGGGUCCAAAUAUUUAGGAUCUGAAAGACCACGAUCCGAAAAGAACCGGUUGGAAUUCCAAUCUGGAGAUCCAAACGGUCAGGCCUUGCUAUACUGGUAAAAUAUUUUUAUUUUUCUUACUACAAAUGUACAACGUAAUGAUGAAUAUAUUUUCUUACUUAUAAAUGAUUAACUAGCAAGUUUUUUUUCUUUUUGAGAAACAAGUAUUUUCAUAAAAUUUAUUGUUUGAAAUCAUCUUUCCUUUCAAGUACUGAAUCCUAUUUUAAACUGGAUGAAACUAGGAGUUUUUUUGGCAAUAAACAUAGAAUUGUUUAAGUUCAUAUAUACAACUCUUUUUUCAUAUAUACAAGACUUGAGUGCGGAAACUAUGAUAUCUUAUCGGAUUUUUAAACAAUCUCAAACACACUACUUAUAUAUAUACUUUUUGUAAUCAAAGUUGCAUGUGCUUUGUUGUUAUUCUUAAAAGGUAAAGAAUAAUACAACAGUGUCCCAUGUAUCGAGUAUGUGACAGAGGAUCAUCAACUAUGGUGCUAAAUGACAAUCACUAUAUCUUUCUAUCUACUUACUUUUUCUUUAUAUAUUGAUGCAUAUUUUAAAAAUUGAAAUGGAAUACAUAUGUUAUCCAUGAAUAAUUUUAAAUUUUAAAAACAUCAGUUGCUGCAGGACUGUUGAUCGUAAUGUCGAAAGUUCACAAUGGUUUGAAGAGAGAUAAAUGAGACACAUUAUUCUUAUUUCUUACGUUUUAGAGUUUUUUUGUAUGAAUGUUGAGAUCGUUUUAGAGUUGUUUACACACAAAAAAAAAACAUUAAACAGCUUAGAUUUGAGACACAUAUAUUUGUAUUUUCUUACUCAAUAAAUUUUAUGAAGCUCAUAAAUAAAUGAAUGGACAUACAAAGCCCGCCCAGAGAACAAACCACUCACUCAACCAUUGACUAGGGCAUCUUUUUUUUUUUCCAUCUAUUAGUUUUUAUUAAGGGACCAGACCCAAAAAAGAGAGUCCACAUACAUUAUCCAAAAAAAAAUCAAACACAAAGAGAAAAAAAUGAAAUGGGUCUUGAGCCCAACCCACUAAACCGACCACUCCACCAAUCGCAGCUAAACCAAACCGCUCCACCAAUCGUCACGCGUCCCGCAUGAGCGUAUGGACGCCCACGUGUCACCCGAUCACAACAUCGUGACCCACACGUCGUUUCACCUCCACCACUUCAGCCAUCUCGAGAUUCUACGUUGGAGACCAAAUCGACGGUGCACCGGAACCCAGCGAACCACACCGGCGUCACACCAGGAACACCAUCCUCCGUCAUCUUCUCCGACUUACUAGUCACCACCUGACCAAACAGAACACUCGCCACCGGAAUCUACCGGUUCCUCAAUCACAACCACCGAAAAACCACCUCCAACAACUGUAUUGAAGGUUUAGGAGAUUCGAUGGCAAAAUCACACCGCCCCCAAGAACUUCACAUCACGACAUCAAACUCAAACCAUCACGAAAGCCGGUGAAGAAGAACUGGAGAAGCUUCUUCUUCCCAGAAACAAAGCCCGAUGAACGGGAAACUAGACCGGAAAAGAUCCGGUGGACCAAGAAACAAAGCUUUCUCUCUCCUCUGUGUAAGAUUUUAGAGAGGGAACAGAGCUAAGAGAGAGAAGCUUAAACUACGUAUUUAUUUUAGGCUUAAGUCCGACUAGGGCAUCUAAAUUAAGAGGAUACAUUUUUUUUGUUAGUAUUUAUAAACAAUUAAAAGUUGUAGGGUCUCUUAGCUAAAUAUUAAUUAUUGGGCAUUAUUAGUUAGAAUAACGUUUAUGACUUCUCAACAAUAUUAAUAAAUUUGUUGAAAUUAAAUAUAUUAUUUAUACUUAAAUAAUAAUUUAUAUUUUAAAAUAUAGUUUUUGACAAAAAAAAAUAUAGUUAAAAACUUAGAUAAAAGUUAGCCAUAAAACAGUUUUUCCUUUGUUUCAUUUUAUCAUUUUAAUUCAUGCAUCACUUUUUCCUUUACCCAUACUUUUUCUGUCUUCAUCAUUUUUGUUAUAACAAGGUACGUGACUAGUUUGUUGAUGUCAAUAUUUUAUAGAAACUUGAAAACCGUGCUGGAUUCUUAACGCAUUGACAUAAUUUGUGAUCAUUUAUUUAUGGAACUAGAGAUUUUUCCGAAAAUCAAUACAUGUAAAAAUUCCAAAGUCUAUUGAAGUGUUUGAUGUUUUGAAAGAAAUGGAGGAUUGUUAUCAUUACCCAUAAAUUGUUUAUCGGAUAUUGUUGACCAUUUUUGGUAUCGGUCGCUAUAUUUGAAAGAAUUUUUUCGAAGUUAAAGCUGAUAAAGAAUUAUUUGUGGACUACCAUAUCACAAAAUAUGUUAAAUGAGUUGGCUAUGUUAUCUACCGGUUCCUCAAUCACAACCACCGAAAAACCACCUCCAACAACUGUAUUGAAGGUUUAGGAGAUUCGAUGGCAAAAUCACACCGCCCCCAAGAACUUCACAUCACGACAUCAAACUCAAACCAUCACGAAAGCCGGUGAAGAAGAACUGGAGAAGCUUCUUCUUCCCAGAAACAAAGCCCGAUGAACGGGAAACUAGACCGGAAAAGAUCCGGUGGACCAAGAAACAAAGCUUUCUCUCUCCUCUGUGUAAGAUUUUAGAGAGGGAACAGAGCUAAGAGAGAGAAGCUUAAACUACGUAUUUAUUUUAGGCUUAAGUCCGACUAGGGCAUCUAAAUUAAGAGGAUACAUUUUUUUUGUUAGUAUUUAUAAACAAUUAAAAGUUGUAGGGUCUCUUAGCUAAAUAUUAAUUAUUGGGCAUUAUUAGUUAGAAUAACGUUUAUGACUUCUCAACAAUAUUAAUAAAUUUGUUGAAAUUAAAUAUAUUAUUUAUACUUAAAUAAUAAUUUAUAUUUUAAAAUAUAGUUUUUGACAAAAAAAAAUAUAGUUAAAAACUUAGAUAAAAGUUAGCCAUAAAACAGUUUUUCCUUUGUUUCAUUUUAUCAUUUUAAUUCAUGCAUCACUUUUUCCUUUACCCAUACUUUUUCUGUCUUCAUCAUUUUUGUUAUAACAAGGUACGUGACUAGUUUGUUGAUGUCAAUAUUUUAUAGAAACUUGAAAACCGUGCUGGAUUCUUAACGCAUUGACAUAAUUUGUGAUCAUUUAUUUAUGGAACUAGAGAUUUUUCCGAAAAUCAAUACAUGUAAAAAUUCCAAAGUCUAUUGAAGUGUUUGAUGUUUUGAAAGAAAUGGAGGAUUGUUAUCAUUACCCAUAAAUUGUUUAUCGGAUAUUGUUGACCAUUUUUGGUAUCGGUCGCUAUAUUUGAAAGAAUUUUUUCGAAGUUAAAGCUGAUAAAGAAUUAUUUGUGGACUACCAUAUCACAAAAUAUGUUAAAUGAGUUGGCUAUGUUAUCAAUUGAGACAACUAUGAUUAAAAGAUUUGACUAUAUGAAUUUAAUGGAUGAUAUUCCAAAAAAAAUCUCGAGAUAUGAACUACAUUUCAAUACUAAUUGUUCUAUAUAACUAGUUUUUAUAUAAACAUUUUAUGGAAAUUGUAUUUUAAAUGAUUUUUUUCAUUUUUUAUGAUCUUGAUAAAAUACGUACAAGGACAUAUUUUAAAAUUUAGCUUAGUGCACUAUAAAACAUUAGACUGGCACUGCGGACAUAGUACCUUGUUUCUGAACAAUUUUUUUCUUUAUAUUUAAUCACAUACAUCACAACCACUUAAUUGAAAAUUGUAUCUGCAACUCAUAUUAAAUAGUCUAUACUAUAUCAUUAUUACUUUAUUAGAACAUACAAUUUAUUAUGAACAUUAUUUGGUAAACAAGCUGCGAUAACAGAGUACUCCCUCUCCCUCUGUUUUGAUACGUAAGUAGUUUUAGCAAAAAAUGUUUGUUUCACAGUGUAAGAUGUUUACAUAAUCCAAAGGAUUUUUUACAUUUAUUAUAUGCUGUGUGACCAAUCAAAUAAUUCAUUUUUUUUUAUUAUUGGUUGAAUUUAUGUAUUAAAUGCUAUUUUUUCAAAAAUAAAAAUUUUCUUAAUAUUCACUUUUAACUAAAACUACUUACAAAUAAAAACAGAGGGAGUAUAAAAAAAGUUCUAAAAGUUAUGAUAUGUAUAUACCGAUCUAACGGUGGCGGACCCAGAAAUUAUUUUAAAAUUUUGAAUUCAAAAAUUUGAAUACAAAAAUUAAGGUGUCAUGAUGGGAUCGUGGGUUAAUGGGGGAGGGAAGGGGUCAAAACAUGAAUUUUACCAUAAAUGCCGAUAAAAGUUUUGCUCCUUUUUACACGAAAAAAUAUUUAAUAAGAUUUAAGGGGUGUCUGGUGACAUUUCAUUGUCUUUGAUGGACCCGCCUCUGAUCUAAUAUAUGUGUUCAUUUAACAAGAUAGAAUGAUUUAUACAAAUAUAAUUUUAAGUUUUAAACAUAAUAUUCAUCAUAUUUUGUGUGCCAAACAUUAGAAAAUAAAAUAUGGUCGAUUGGGUUGACAUAUUUUACAUUGAAGACAUAUAUUCAUGAAUAAGAUGGUUGCCAUAUUUUGAUGGAUAAGAUGUGGUAGAGACACCUUUUUACACAUUUCAUUUGAACAUUUUAGAACUGUAUUUUUCAUAUAUGUAAAAGAACAACCUCAAGUAAAAACAAUCCCAAUUAAAUAUAUGCUAGUAAUAUUUUAAAAUUUUAAUCCCAAAUUAAUCUAAAUAUUUUAAAAUUUGUAAUAAAAAAUGAGUAACAAACUUGUAAAAACUAUCAUAAAUCGUCAAGGUUAUUCAUCUCUCAACAAUUACUCUCCGACAAACUAUUACAAUUAUAAUCUCUCGAUGAGUGUUGUAGGCACAGGGGGGUAACCCACGAAUUGAUAAAAAUGGUGGAACCAAGGUUUAAACCUGAAAAAAACAAAGAGAACCGAUUUUUAUGAGUUUAGAGUUUUUAUGAUGCAAACAUAAACAAAUAUGAAAACGAAUGAAAUGAUGAUGAUAAUGAUAAUAAAACAAGAUAAAUAAACAAAGGAUAGGAUGGAAUCAAGCUGCUGGAUGUGUAUCACUCUCAGCUUGAUUAGAUGAUGAACUGAAGUGGAUUUGCGGAGGAAGGUUUGAUUGAAUCUCUCAAUCUGAUGGAAUGAUGGAUCGAAGUGAUUGACUCUCUCAAUCUGUGUACUGAGCUUGUUUGAUUUGCACAAACAAACUAGACUCACGAAAUCAAUAAGACAACAAAGAAUCUCUCUUUGAAUCCUAAAGACCGAUAUUUUAUACAAAGAACAACUUUGAUAAAACUGAAUAAACUUUUUAUUAACUUGGUGAUUAAGGGUGCUCUUUACAAUGGACGUCUAGGAGCUUAUAUAAGGCUCAGAGACAAAGGUCCUAACGUUCUAAAACAAAUAGAAAAGGAAACAAAUCAAGCAAAGUAACAAAAUCGAAAACUAGCCGUUGGAGCCUUUUAUGGGAUUUUGGCUCCAAGUGAGAAACUUGAUUCUUCUUGAACCUGGACGGUUUUAAUGGAUAAGAGAGCUUCCUUGGGACCUUCCUGGGUGCUUGAUAGGUUCUGAUCUCGUGCCUGAUCUGAAGAGAAAAGAGUUGUUGGACAUUAAUGUCGGUUUGCUCCAAAUAAGGCAGGUUUGAGUAAAUGAGGAUCCUCAUGAUCCAAUGGUUGCUGGUGCAUGGUAUGAACUUGCAGAACUCCUCCUGGACUCCUAGAAUAUCUCCUGAUUGGUUGAAAUGAUCUCCUGGUCGCCAAUGUCUGGUUUGAAGCUGAUUGAACCGGUUAGCUUCCAAUUGAGGUAAGUGUAGAACUGGAUUGGCCGGUUUUGAAGAUUGGAUCAUAAAUUCAUAAUUCCGUGGCCAUUUCUCCUGAUCUUGGGCUUUCUGGAAAUCUGAUAAACUCCUCUUGACUCCUAUGAUGGGCUUUGCUUCAGGCCGCUCCUUACUUGAGCUUAAAUCUCCUUCUAAAGUCGGGUACUCGCAGAUGGACGGGCUGGAAAACCUCUGACUUGUAAAAUUCAUAACUUCUUGCUCCGUGAAUAUUUUGGACUGAUUAUAAGUGGGCUGGACUCCUUCUUGAGUGUAGAGUCCACUAAAAUUUAUCUUGUGACUUAAACCCUCCUGGUUUGUAAGAUACAGCAUUUUUAGUGCACAUGUGUUCUGCUUAGCGCCUUGGCUGGUUGAGUAGGGCUUUGGGUUGACCUCCGGUUCAGUUGCUGAUCUGAUGACCACAUCAUCCCCUCCCUCUUGACAAGGUUUCGACUUCGAAACUGUAUAAUCUGCACCAAGAUAGAGCAAGUCAGCUUUCAUUCUCUUUUGAGAUUCUAAAGCCUUACCUUGGUAUUGUUUUGGUUUUGCUUCUUUAAGCAAUAUGGACUGCAUUGUCUCUUGAACAAUCUUCUGGUCCAUCACAAGAGUCACGCCUGGUGGUUCUUCUUCUUUAAAUUCUUGCUCCUUAAGUCCUGUUACAACACCCUUUGACAAAGACAAGUGCAUUAUACAAGAAUAUGGAACCAAUAAAUCAGUUUGAAUAAAACUAUCACUUUUCAUAGAUAAAUCUAUUUUUUCUUCUAGUGAUGUUUCUAUCAAUGCUUGCUUAGUAGGACAAACUACAGCAUAGUGUCCUUUCUUAUGACAUCUAUAACAUGUCUGAUUUUUCAAAUCCUCAGAGUUAGAAGACUUACCUUGGCUUGAUGGCUCUUCUUUAUUUGGGUUUAAAAUCUCCUUGUAUCUUGGACUUAAAUCAUGGACAACUUUUGAUCUCAACAAGGAUGGGGAGAUCGUGUCUUUCUGAACCUCAGGACCUGUCUUAACAUUCUUGGACAAAGACAAGUGACUCAUACCAGUGGGAGAUGAUUUAUAAACAAAUUUAUCAAGUAUAGGACUUACCUUAGCCUUUACUUGGACAAUAAAAGGUUCUGAUUUUUCUUUGGAACCAUGAGUUAGAUACCUCCUUGGGUAUAUCUUUUUGAUCUUAGAACUUGUGAGUUCUGCUGCAAAUUCAUCCCUCAUGACUUCCUUAAGAGCUCUCCACGUUUUGAUAGCUGUCUCCUUGUAAAACCAUCUAUCAUCUUCUUCUUGUACCCACCAUUUAAAGGCAUUACCUUUUAGUUGAUCAAGGGCAUAAGAUAGCCUCUCUUCCUUGAGGAUGUUGUUGUAGUGAAACCAUUCAUCAAGGUUCCUCUCCCAUGUUAGGUAGCUUAUUCCUCCUGAAAAUGUAAAGAGUUCAAUUUUAUCAGCAAAAGAUUUAUGAUCAAACCGAGAAUUAGCAACAUGAUGAGUAUGGGUUUGAGAAGUUGGAUGUUGAUUGAUCCUUGAAGGAUCUGGUGGCUUGGGAUCGACAUAGACAACCUCUGGUGCAUCUCCAAAUCUCCUUUCUCCUUGCUGUGGACGUUGGCCUCAUGCCUUGUUUCUUUUCCUCAACUGAGCAAUCCGAUCAUUGAUCUCUUGUAAAGCUGUCAACUAUUGGUUCUGUUUGGCCAUCUGACAUUGACCGUGUGUUUUUCCUACCAUGGCUUCCUGAAAACACUUUCAAAGAUCAAGUGAAGGAAGGUAUGGGAAGUUCUGGUCGAAUCAAAAUAGGAACCAAAAAUGCAAGCUAAUUAAAACUAAACCGAGAAAAUAUGCUAUGAUGACCCGAAUUGAAAUAAACUAUGCAAAAAUGAUUUUUCUUUUAGUUUUCUUAAUGCAAAUCUCGAAAUGAAACAAUAUUAAAUGACAAUGAACACAAAUGAAAAGAAAAUAUGGAAAGCAAACUAAUGCUGAUAUUUUUUUUUUGAUUUUCUUAAUUAUGCAAGAAUUAACCAACAAUAUGCAAAAAUGAUUUAAACUAAGAUGCAAUAUUUUUAUUUGGUUUUCUUGAUGUAAGAACGAAAUGGACAACUAGAAAUGGUAUGAAAAUACUGAGAAUGAUUUAUUUUGGCUUUUAAGUUUAUGGAUGCAAAUGGAAAGGAAACAAAUUCAAAACAUCAUUUUUUUAUGGGAUAUUUGAGAUUUUUUUUUAUGGAAACUAAUGAAUGCAAACACUUUUUUUUGGGAUUUUCGAUUUUAAAUGAAUCAAAUAAAACUUUUUCUUUUCUUUUUCGUGGCUUUUAAGAGGAUGAACAGAAAGUACACAAAAACAAAUGCAGAAACAAAACUUGAACAAAGAAACAGUUUUUUUGGAUUUUCUGUUUAUGAUAAAAACAAAUGCAAGCAAAUGAAAUAUGAUGCAAGGAUAGAAUGGACCUGGAGAUUUUUUUUUAUGGAAACUAAUGAAUGCAAACACUUUUUUUUGGGAUUUUCGAUUUUAAAUGAAUCAAAUAAAACUUUUUCUUUUCUUUUUCGUGGCUUUUAAGAGGAUGAACAGAAAGUACACAAAAACAAAUGCAGAAACAAAACUUGAACAAAGAAACAGUUUUUUUGGAUUUUCUGUUUAUGAUAAAAACAAAUGCAAGCAAAUGAAAUAUGUAAAGCUGUCAACUAUUGGUUCUGUUUGGCCAUCUGACAUUGACCGUGUGUUUUUCCUACCAUGGCUUCCUGAAAACACUUUCAAAGAUCAAGUGAAGGAAGGUAUGGGAAGUUCUGGUCGAAUCAAAAUAGGAACCAAAAAUGCAAGCUAAUUAAAACUAAACCGAGAAAAUAUGCUAUGAUGACCCGAAUUGAAAUAAACUAUGCAAAAAUGAUUUUUCUUUUGGUUUUCUUAAUGCAAAUCUCGAAAUGAAACAAUAUUAAAUGACAAUGAACACAAAUGAAAAGAUAAUAUGGAAAGCAAACUAAUGCUGAUAUUUUUUUUUUGAUUUUCUUAAUUAUGCAAGAAUUAACCAACAAUAUGCAAAAAUGAUUUAAACUAAGAUGCAAUAUUUUUAUUUGGUUUUCUUGAUGUAAGAACGAAAUGGACAACUAGAAAUGGUAUGAAAAAACUGAGAAUGAUUUAUUUUGGCUUUUAAGUUUAUGGAUGCAAAUGGAAAGGAAACAAAUUCAAAACAUCAUUUUUUUAUGGGAUAUUUGAGAUUUUUUUUUAUGGAAACUAAUGAAUGCAAACACUUUUUUUUGGGAUUUUCGAUUUUAAAUGAAUCAAAUAAAACUUUUUCUUUUCUUUUUCGUGGCUUUUAAGAGGAUGAACAGAAAGUACACAAAAACAAAUGCAGAAACAAAACUUGAACAAAGAAACAGUUUUUUUGGAUUUUCUGUUUAUGAUAAAAACAAAUGCAAGCAAAUGAAAUAUGAUGCAAGGAUAGAAUGGACCUGAUUCAGGAGCUUUGAGCUCUGAUACCAAAAUGUUGUAGGCACAGGAGGGGUAACCCACGAAUUGAUAAAAAUGGUGGAACCAAGGUUUAAACCUGAAAAAAACAAAGAGAACCGAUUUUUAUGAGUUUAGAGUUUUUAUGAUGCAAACAUAAACAAAUAUGAAAACGAAUGAAAUGAUGAUGAUAAUGAUAAUAAAACAAGAUAAAUAAACAAAGUAUAUGAUGGAAUCAAGCUGCUGGAUGUGUAUCACUCUCAGCUUGAUUAGAUGAUGAACUGAAGUGGAUUUGCGGAGGAAGGUUUGAUUGAAUCUCUCAAUCUGAUGGAAUGAUGGAUCGAAGUGAUUGACUCUCUCAAUCUGUGUACUGAGCUUGUUUGAUUUGCACAAACAAACUAGACUCACGAAAUCAAUAAGACAACAAAGAAUCUCUCUUUGAAUCCUAAAGACCGAUAUUUUAUACAAAGAACAACUUUGAUAAAACUGAAUAAACUUUCUAUUAACUUGGUGAUUAAGGGUGCUCUUUACAAUGGACGUCUAGGAGCUUAUAUAAGGCUCAGAGACAAAGGUCCUAACGUUCUAAAACAAAUAGAAAAGGAAACAAAUCAAGCAAAGUAACAAAAUCGAAAAACUAGCCGUUGGAGCCUUUUAUGGGAUUUUGGCUCCAAGUGAGAAACUUGAUUCUUCUUGAACCUGGACGGUUUUAAUGGAUAAGAGAGAUUCCUUAGGACCUUCCUGGGUGCUUUAUAGGUUCUGAUCUCGUUCCUGAUCUGAAGAGAAAAGAGCUGUUGGACAUUAAUGUCGGUUUGCUCCAAAUAAGGCAGGUUUGAGUAAAUGAGGAUCCUCAUGAUCCAAUGGUUGCUGGUGCAUGGUAUGAACUUUCAGAACUCCUCCUGGACUCCUAGAAUAUCUCCUGAUUGGUUGAAAUGAUCUCCUGGUCGCCAAUGUCUGGUUUGAAGCUGAUUGAACCGGUUAGCUUCCAAUUGAGGCAAGUGUAGAACUGGAUUGACCGGUUUUGGAGAUUGGAUCAUAACUUCAUAAUUCCAUGGCCAUUUCUCCUGAUCUUGGGCUUUCUGGAAAGCUGAUAAACUCCUCUUGACUCCUAUGAUGGGAUUUUCUUCAGGCCGCUCCUUACUUGAGCUUAAAUCUCCUUCUAAAGUCGGGUACUCGCAGAUGGACGGGCUGGAAAACUUCUGACUUGUAAAAUUCAUAACUUCUUUCUCCGUGAAUAUUUUGGACUUAUUCCAAAUGGUCUGGACUCCUUCUUGAGUGUAGAGUCCAUUACAAAUUUUCUCGUGACUUAAACCCUCCUGGUUUGUAAGAUACGGCAUUUUUAGUGCACAUGUGUUCUGCUUGGCGCCUUGGCUGGUUGAGUAGGACUUUGGGUUGACCUCUGGUUCAGUUGCUUAUCUGAUGACCACAUCAAUGAGUAUAGGCGAGAGGAGUGAGAUAUUUUCUCUCCUUUCCCUUUACCUCCAUUUCAAACCCUAGCCGCCUCUUUAAGCUUUUGGCUCUGCCUCUCCGCCACCUUUCCGAUGGUGUGAGAGGCAGUGUAUCUCUUUUUUGUCUUUUUCAAAGUUUCAUCUGCGAUUUCUUGGUUAUCUUUUGCGGGCUCUAGAUUUAGAUCCCGUCUGGUUGUUUGAGUUGCGGCGUUCGUGUGGCAUAUGUUUGCAUGGCUCUCAGAUGUUCUGAGGACUUGCUCUGGUGUCUGUGUCUUCCUCCUCUCCUCUGUUUCGUCAAAUAAGUGUUUUGGUGUGCAAGACAUGAAUUUUACCAUAAAUACCGAUAAAAGUUUUGCUCAUUUUGACACGAAAAAAUAUUUAAAAAAAUUUAAGGGGUGUCAGGUGACACUCCAUUGUCCUUGAUGGAUCCGCCUCUGAUCUAAUAUAUGUGUUCAUUUAACAAGAUAGAAUGAUUCAUACAAACAUAAUUUUAAGUUUUAAACAUAAUAUUCAUCAAAUUUUGUGUGCCAAACAUUAGAAAAUAAAAUAUGGCGCAUUGGGUUGACAUAUUUUACAUUGAAGACAUAUAUUCAUGAAUAGGUUACAGUUGCCACAUUUUGAUGGAUAAGAUGUGGUAGAGACACAUUUUUACACAUUUCAUUUGAACGUUUUAGAACUGUAUUUUUCAUAUAUGUAAAAGAACAACCUCAGGCAAAAACAAUCCCAAUUAAAUAUAUGCGAGUAAUAUUUUAAAAUUUUAACCCCAAAUUAAUCUAAAUAUUUUAAAAUUUGUAAUAAAAAUGAGUAACAAACUUGUAAAAACUAUCAUAAAUCAUCAAAGUUAUUCAUCUCCCAACCUUUACUCUCCAACAAACAAUUAUAAUUAUAAUCUCUCGAUGAGUAUAGACGAGAGGAGUGAGAGAUUUUCUCUCCCUUCACCUCUGUUUCAAACCCUAGCCGCCUCUUUAAGCUUUUGGCUCCCCCCCCCCCGCCUCUCCGACACCUUUAUGAUGGUGUGAGAGGCAGUGUAUCUCAUUUAUUGUAUUUUUCAAAGUUUCAUCUGCGAUUUCUUGGUUAUCUUUUACGGGCUCUAGAUUUAGAUCCUGUCUGGUUGUUUGGGUUGGGGCGUUCGUUGGAAUUUGUUUGCAUGGCUCUCUGAUGUUCUGAGGACUUGCUUUGGUGGCUCUGUCUUCCUCCUCUCCUCUGUUUCGUCAAAUAAGUGUUUUGGGGUGCAAGCUUUGAGGUGUGGUUUGUUGGUGACUCUAAAUUCGGGGUGGUGGGGUGGGGGCGUGUAGUCUCACGGUGGAAGUUCGCCAGAUGUGGCCUUCGGGUGGUUGGUUUACUUGGGUAUUGUAGAUCAGCCUCUCAUCCGAGUUUUCUCGGUGUUUUCUCUUCCUUUGAGGGUCUUCUCUUCUACGGCUUCAAUUUAUCUCUCGUGGAGUAAUUUUUAGCCUCUCUCUUUCCUCGCUGUUGGAUUUCAGUUUGCUCUUUGCUUAUAUAUGUUGUGUGGUUUCGUCGGUAGUCUUUUGCGGCGGUCCUAGAGUUUUUUUUUUGUUCUUUUGAUGUUCUUUUCUCAGUAACGGUGGCUUGAAUUGAUUGUAUGUAUCACAUUGGUUCUACGCCAUAUAAGCUUUUUUUGUGGCGGUCUCCUGCGUUUCUCCGGAAACUUUGGCAAGUGGCUAGAAUUUAUGCUAAUGUUUUAAUCUCCCUCUUCUCGAAUUCGGUGUUGGGUAGAGAUUUAUUUUCUUUUGAUGUUUUCAGUUUGGGCCAAAAUGUUGAACCCAUUAAUUGGUUAAUGUUGGAAGGUGUAAUCUCACAAAAAUAUAGAAACACAACCAAAAACUAGGGGGAAUUUAUGAACUAAGCAAAUUCUCAUUAGAAAUAAAGAAAAUAUCAAUAAUUUUUGACAUAAUUAAAUCCAUAAUAACUUUACAAAUUUUAUCCGAUAUUACUCUUUUUUUUCAAAUUGAUGGUGAUAGAAAGAUGAGAAGUGAUGUUGUCUAUAAUUUUACACAUAUGGAUAAGAUAAAAUAUGCACUGUUAAAAGUCAAAUCAUGCAUAUAACAAGACAUCACUUAAUUAAUUACCACAUAUAAAAGGUUCAUUUUUAAACAUGAGACGAGGAACAGUGAUGUAGACGGAAGAACAACGAUGGAGGAUAAUUGAAGAUCUUAUUUUCAUGUAUAAGACAUAGUAUGGACCCUCUACAAAUAGUACCGAAAAGAGGCUCCAUUCCAUUUACAUGCGUAAAUUAAUAAAAUUGAUCAUCAUACAAAAAUAGUAUGGAACUAUAGUUAAUUGAUAGAUAAAUAGUAUAGACUCCAUAAAUAGUAUAGUUUUCACUGGUCCACAAUAUAGUUUUUACUUGUUCAUAGUAUAAUUUGUAUUAUUUAGUAUUAUUUGCAUAUGUAAAUAAAUAAGUUGAGUAUUGGAUGCAAAAUAAUAUGAAAUUGAUAGUGAGUUGAUAAUCAAAUAGUAUAUCAAAUUAAUAAAUUGAAACAUUGUAUCCACACAAAAAUAAAAAUGGAUUAAAAUAUGAUAUAUAUAGUAUAAUAAAAGUUAAUGAAAUUAUCAAAAUGUUAUGAAAAGUAUUAAAUUUGCCUUAAAUCCUAUAUCAUAAACCCUCCCUUCAGCUCGACCUCUUAAAUAUUAAAACUUUAACCAUCAAAUCCUAAACUUAAAUGUAUAAUGUAAUAUAUAUAUUUAUAAUAUUAAAUUAAAAUUAAAAUCUAAAAUAAUAUAUAAUAUUAUGUACUAUUAUAAAUAUGAAUAAUAGAAUAGAGUUACGAACAAAAAAAGUGUUAAAACAUAAAGGAAACAACAAAGACAAUCCAGAGGCAACAUCAAUUAUCAGUGGUGACCAUCUAUAAAGGGAAUCAUCGGUGAUGUAGCAGAGCAUAACAUCGGCGAUGGAAAUUAAGAUGAGGUCGUGUUUUGAUAUCUGAUUGAUGCGACUUCAGGUACAGAGAAAUCGGUCAACGAUCUCAUUAAUCAAGGAAUCUUUAAGACUCAUACAGGAUAGAAGCAAAUAUUUGAGAGGAGAAAAAAAAUAUAAAAGUUUGAAUUUGUAGAUUUGAAGAGUGUUUUGGUAUAUAAGAUACAAAGUAUGUUGCAUAUCAUGACACUGCGCGGUGAAUUAUUAUUUGUUUUAAUGUUAUAUAAUCCCAUUUUCUAAAAAAUAAUAAUUAAUGGAUACAAAGUAUAAAAUAAAAUAUUAUAAUUUAGCCAAAACAAUCUUACCUGAUUUGUUUUGAACUAAGGCAGACAAUCUCCACAUCACUGAUCAUAUUUUUUUUCAGCUCAACCAAAGCUGGUCUAGCCCAGUCAUAGUUAACCACAUAUGAUUUGGGUAUAUUGUAGCCAGAAUUCAACAAUAUUUACCCCUACAGAAAAGUAAAUUCGAAAUUUGAAAUGCUUACCUUCAGAGAAAAUGCUUCAGUUAGACAAAAUACCUAAAACGGAAAAUGUUGGCAUAAAUGCCUAAAGUAUAAUGUUUCAACAUUUUAAACUUAGACAAUUUUCCAACUCCAGAGUCCAGAAUCGUAGUUGUUGAAAAGGUAGAAAGUUUAAACUAGUUUUUGCUUCUGUGUGCAUCGAGAAAAAGUAGGCACUGGCGAGUAUGGUUUCCCAUUAUGCCAAAAGCGCGUGUGAGAAACGCAUGGAAAUGUCAAAGGAGUGUGAGGUUGACAAUAGAUGAGUCUAGAUAUUAUUCAACGCCUUGCUCAAAAAAAAAAACCUUUACUCUCCAACAAACAAUUAUAAUUAUAAUCUCUCGAUGAGUAUAGACGAGAGGAGUGAGAGAUUUUCUCUCCCUUCACCUCUGUUUCAAACCCUAGCCGCCUGCAAAUAGCAUAACAGUUGGGGAACAAAAAACAGAGUUCUUUUUCAAAAAAAAAAAAAAAAAAGAGAUUAUUCAAAGCCUUUGACAAUAUAUAAAGUCAAUGAAAAACAAGAAACUAGAAACCACUUCUGGUUUUAGUCUCCGACGCUAGGUGACAUAGAAAGGAUAAGAGCAUCUAGAUACCCCUCUUGAAGCACAUACUUUCUCUCUUUCUACAAUUAUUCUCUCUAUACAUAACUCUUAUAUACAUGCAAAUUUAUAAAAAUACAUAGUAGAUAAAUUAACAUAUAUACAUGUGAUUCCGAGGGUACAAUUGUUUCAGUGUGUUCAUACAGUCAUAGUUAAUUUGCUUUAUAAACAAGAUAUUUACUAUGUUUAAUCUAGUAUUAUUCUAACCAUACAGCACAUAUAUAUUUUUAAUCAACUGUAAAAUAAAACAUGUUUACACAAAAAAAGAAAUUUGUUUUAGAGGAUUCCCAAUAUAUGUUCGGAUCCAAAGUCAGAUUGCUAGCUAGCUAUAAGCAACUCAUAUUACUCUGUACACUUGUUUCAUGUUCACAUAGUAUUAUUCUAACCAUACAGCACAUAUAUAUUUUUAAUCAACUGUAAAAUAAAACAUGUUUACACAAAAAAAGAAAUUUGUUUUAGAGGAUUCCCAAUAUAUGUUCGGAUCCAAAGUCAGAUUGCUAGCUAGCUAUAAGCAACUCAUAUUACUCUGUACACUUGUUUCAUGUUCACAUGGUAUUAUCUUAUUUAUUUACCACAUAUGUUACUAGUUUCAUGUUUAUUAAUUGUUUUAGUAUGGUUACCAAGUAGGCAAGUACCACCUUCUGUACUACAUACUCUAUAAUUUAUUUUUAACAGGGCAAAUUUCCAAAAUAGCACAUUUCUAAGUUUAUGUCACAAAAAUAGUCCUCAAAAACUAAAAUGACUAAAAUAGCAUUUUAUCUUUUGAAAAUUUUAAUUUUUUUAUUUUUUUAUUUUUCAAAAUUUGAAAUCUUAUCCCAAAACCCAACUCCCCAACUCUAAACCUUAAAACCUAAACCCUAAACCCUAAACUCUAAACCCUAAACUCUAAACCCCACCCCUUAACUCUAAACCCUAAAUCCUAAACUCCACCCCUUAACUUUAAAUCCUAAACCCUAAAUCCCACCCCUAAACUCUAAACCCUAAACCCUAAACUCUAAACCUUAAACCAUAAACCCUAAACCCUAAAUCCUAAACCCCACCCCUUAACUCUAAACCCUAAUGUCUAAAUUAAUUUACUAUUGGGGUAUAAGUGUAUAUUUAUCUCUUUUGAUAAAACAUUAAGUGCUAUUUUAGUUAUUUUUAUUCUUAGAGACUAUAUUUGUGACAAAAACUUUUUUAGUGCUAUUCUGGUCAUUUUCUCAAUUUAAUAUGUUAAGCUAUACUUUUCUAUAAUCACAAUAUAACAUCCGGCCACAAAGAAAGCUAUUGGAAUAUUUUCCAAGUAAUAUUACGUAGGAACUUUAUUGUGUACAUAUCCUUAUGAAUUAAUAAAUUAAUUAAAAGUGAGAUAUAUAAAUGGUUCACAUGUGGAAUCAUUUGCUUUGUCAAAAUAAGAGAACAGAACAAAAUAUGGCAAAUCUCCAAAAUAGCACAUUUCUAAGUUUAUAUCGCAAAAAUAACAUUCGAAAACUAAAAUGAUCAAAAUAACAUUUUAUCUAUUGAAAAAUUUAAUUUUUAUUUAUUUUUUAAAAUUUGAAAUCUUAUCCCAAAACCCCACGCUCCAACUCUAAACCCUAAAACCUAAACUUUGAAACCUAAACCCUAAAUUCUAAACCCUAAACUCUAAACCUUAAACCCUAAAUCCUAAACCCCAUCCUUUAACUCUAAACCCUAAUGUCUAAAUUAAUUUACCAUUAGGGUAUAAAUGUAUAUUUAUCUCUUUUGAUAAAACAUUAAAUACUACUAUUUUGAUCAUUUUUAUUCUUAGAAACUAUAUUUGUGACAAAAAACUUUUUUAGUGCUAUCCUAGUCAUUUUCUCAACAAAAUAGUUGACCAACAAAAAAAGAGAACAGAACAAAAUUGUAAUAUUUGAUCAAAAAAACAAAAUUGUAGUGUUUCACACUGUAUUUAAAUAUUUAAUAAAAAUGUCACCUCCAUUUUUCAACCCAUUUAAUUUUCAUCCUCUCCACUCUCUUUAUAAACACAUCUCUCUCUACGCUUAAAAAAGUCAGCGCUCUCUUUUGUCUCCUUUGCUUUCUCUUCUCUCCACAGAGAUUCUCAGAAGCCUUUGUCUCUCCUGAGAAAUCAAAUCAAUGGCGGACGAUUGGGAUCUACACGCCGUAGUCAGAGGUUGCUCAGCCGUCAGCUCAUCUGCAACCACCGUCUUCUCUGGCGCCGUUUCAUCUCACACGAACCCUAUGUUCACCUACGAAGAACAGAGUAAAGCAGUCUUGUUCAGAGAUAUUCAAGACUUCUACACGCCGUUCACACAAGAAUCAAAUGUAUCCUCGUUUUCUUGUCUGAAUUAUCCAGAAGAACCCAGACAGAGACAAAACCAGAAACGUCCUCUUUCUCUCUCUGCUUCUUCUGGUAGCGUCACUAGCAAACCCACCGGCUCCAAUACCUCUAGAUCUAAAAGAAGGUUCGUUUAUUUUUCUUACCAGUUCAACAAGAACCACUAAAGCUUAAACCUUUUGACGAACCCAUGAAGAAGUUUAUGAAAUUUUGCGUUUUAUUUGUCGAAUCCUCCAAGAAAUUUUGUGUUUUUUUUGUUGGACCCCAUCAACUUAUUUUCGAAUUUAAAUAUGUGUAGAUAGAUGUCUAAAACGUCUCUGUGUUGUGUUGCUUGUUUCAGAAAGAUACAGCAUAAGAAAGUGUGCCAUGUAGCAGCAGAGGCUUUAAACUCCGAUGUUUGGGCAUGGCGAAAGUACGGACAAAAACCCAUCAAAGGUUCACCCUAUCCAAGGUACUAUACAUGAAAAAGAUUAAUUGUUCUUUAAAGACUUAUGAAUGUGUGUAUUCUUUCGAGACAAAACACUUGUCCGUCUUUGUGACUCUGCUUUAAAUGAUCUCUGUUUCUAUUUCUAAUGUACGUCCGUUUAAAACAGAGGAUACUACAGAUGUAGUACAUCAAAAGGAUGUUUAGCCCGUAAACAAGUGGAGCGAAACAGAUCCGACGCGACGAUUUUUAUUGUCACUUACACGGCUGAGCAUAACCACCCAGCUCCUACUCACCGUAAUUCUCUCGCCGGGAGCACUCGUCAGAAAUCAUCUGAUCACCCGACGACCACGAUUGCUACUUAUUCAUCGUCUCCGGUGACGUCAACAGACGAGUUUGUCUUGCCUGCGGAGGAUCUAGCGGUCGGAGAUCUAGACGGAGACGAGGAUUUGUUGUCUUUGUCGGAUACAGUGGUGAGCGAGGAUUUCUUCGAGGGGUUGGAGGAGUUCGCCGGCGGAGAUAGCUUUUCCGGGAAUUCUUCUCCGGCUAGUUUUGAUCUCUCUUGGGUUGUAAACAGUGGCGCCGCAAUUAGCGGCGGAAUAUGAUUCGCGGGGGACUAGACGACGGCUUAGAAUAACUCUUUUAGGAAUAAGAUUAUAGUAUUUUUUUUUUGUUUAAAUUUAAAUUUUGAUUAUAUUAUGUUUAUUUAAUAUAUAAAUAUUAUAAUCUAUUAAAAAAAUAUAAAUAGUAUAAUCUAUGAUUUGUCUGUGAUACGCGUGGAAUAUUUGCCAUUUGUUUAGUGACUUAAACGUAUUUGAAAAUAUUCAUUUUCAACGUUAGUUUGUGGAUGAGAAAUGUCGAUUGGAAUUUAAUAGUGUGUGUUUGUUAUUAUAUACCCUUGAAAUGCUAAUGUAACGUUGCCGUAGGGAGUUUGUGAAGGUUAUUUGUUUCAUCUGAAUGUAAAUGUCUGUGCACCAGCAUUCGAUAUUCUUUUUCGGUUUAGGAAAUUGUUGUAAUUAGAGAGUUUAGAGACUGAAUAUUUCUGUGUUCUUAUUAAUGAACAAGGAUUCCUUAUAUAAGGAUUACAAGAUAAAGAUAAAUGGAAAGAGUACAUAUCAUAAUCCAACAGGAAAUAGGAAAACUACUAAAACAUAGAAAAGGAAAACAUCAUAAGUUCUAAGUCGGCUAGAUCAUUGGUCGACUCUCUCUCCUCCUUGCGGCCGCGGUUGGGCUUGAUGUGGCCGACAGGCUUUCUUCUCUUGUCUUGGUUAAUGGCAAUCCACUCCAUGAUUUAUAACACUCCCCCUUGGAUGCCAUAACCAUACAAGUUUUCUAGUACGCUUCAUGUUGCCUCAUUAAAACCUUAUCAGGAAAACCCAGUGGGACAAAACCAUGAUAAAGGAAAAAGAGUACAACACGCACUACUCCCCCUGAUGUGAACCUCAGUGUAGGUUCUACAUUCUACGCAUCUUGGUGCGUGAUAUUUCUUGUAUGUAUAGGAUGGGAGUAAUCGGCCAGUUUCAUUACUGAACCGUAAUUAGACCACUUCGACUUCUUAGGUCGUUUCUCAUGUCCUUUGACAUCGAGUGUCCCGGUAAAGCAUAUGUGCUAAGCAAUGUGAAUCACAUUGUCCUCGGAGAUCACUAUUGGGUCUUUGCAAAUCGUGUUUGCAUAUGUCCAUAGUCUAGACGUGAUCGUCUACUCUUAACUCUUUACUAUGGUCGGAUAAACCAAGUACUCAUGGACAAUGUACUAAACAUGGUUAUCAUGAACCUAUGUCUCGGUGUAUCUUCUAUACACAGAUGUAUAUCAAUGGCUUUAUAAUUUUACCAUACUAUGGCUUAUUGGCCAGAACAUAUUCAUGAUCCAUACAUAUGGUCAUCGAUCUUUCUUGCUUUAGGCAAUACCAUAUGUAUUUAUCUCGGACAUUGCAGUCCUUUAUCCAUCUCUUGAUGGUGUCUCAUGACCUCUGUUGCUGUGGAUUAUAUCACACACUGAAAUAUAUAUUAUUAGGUCAUAGAUCUCGGCUCUCACAAGCUUAUGGACUACAAUACAUUUGUAUCCGGUUGAUCUUUUGUCUCUACUAGCCCGUGAUCAAGAAGAAGGGCCAGACGCCUUUUAGUCUUAAAAGCCGGACGCGUCUAGUAGAAGAGCCAGACGAGCUAUAAGCAACUCAUAUUACUCUGUACACUUGUUUCAUGUUCACAUAGUAUUAUUCUAACCAUACAGCACAUAUAUAUUUUUAAUCAACUGUAAAAUAAAACAUGUUUACACAAAAAAAGAAAUUUGUUUUAGAGGAUUCCCAAUAUAUGUUCGGAUCCAAAGUCAGAUUGCUAGCUAGCUAUAAGCAACUCAUAUUACUCUGUACACUUGUUUCAUGUUCACAUAGUAUUAUUCUAACCAUACAGCACAUAUAUAUUUUUAAUCAACUGUAAAAUAAAACAUGUUUACACAAAAAAAGAAAUUUGUUUUAGAGGAUUCCCAAUAUAUGUUCGGAUCCAAAGUCAGAUUGCUAGCUAGCUAUAAGCAACUCAUAUUACUCUGUACACUUGUUUCAUGUUCACAUGGUAUUAUCUUAUUUAUUUACCACAUAUGUUACUAGUUUCAUGUUUAUUAAUUGUUUUAGUAUGGUUACCAAGUAGGCAAGUACCACCUUCUGUACUACAUACUCUAUAAUUUAUUUUUAACAGGGCAAAUUUCCAAAAUAGCACAUUUCUAAGUUUAUGUCACAAAAAUAGUCCUCAAAAACUAAAAUGACUAAAAUAGCAUUUUAUCUUUUGAAAAUUUUAAUUUUUUUAUUUUUUUAUUUUUCAAAAUUUGAAAUCUUAUCCCAAAACCCAACUCCCCAACUCUAAACCCUAAAACCUAAACUCUAGACCCUAAACCCUAAACUCUAAACCCUAAACUCUAAACCCCACCCCUUAACUCUAAACCCUAAAUCCUAAACUCCACCCCUUAACUUUAAAUCCUAAACCCUAAAUCCCACCCCUAAACUCUAAACCCUAAACCCUAAACUCUAAACCUUAAACCAUAAACCCUAAACCCUAAAUCCUAAACCCCACCCCUUAACUCUAAACCCUAAUGUCUAAAUUAAUUUACUAUUGGGGUAUAAGUGUAUAUUUAUCUCUUUUGAUAAAACAUUAAGUGCUAUUUUAGUUAUUUUUAUUCUUAGAGACUAUAUUUGUGACAAAAACUUUUUUAGUGCUAUUCUGGUCAUUUUCUCAAUUUAAUAUGUUAAGCUAUACUUUUCUAUAAUCACAAUAUAACAUCCGGCCACAAAGAAAGCUAUUGGAAUAUUUUCCAAGUAAUAUUACGUAGGAACUUUAUUGUGUACAUAUCCUUAUGAAUUAAUAAAUUAAUUAAAAGUGAGAUAUAUAAAUGGUUCACAUGUGGAAUCAUUUGCUUUGUCAAAAUAAGAGAACAGAACAAAAUAUGGCAAAUCUCCAAAAUAGCACAUUUCUAAGUUUAUAUCGCAAAAAUAACAUUCGAAAACUAAAAUGAUCAAAAUAACAUUUUAUCUAUUGAAAAAUUUAAUUUUUAUUUAUUUUUUAAAAUUUGAAAUCUUAUCCCAAAACCCCACGCUCCAACUCUAAACCCUAAAACCUAAACUUUGAAACCUAAACCCUAAAUUCUAAACCCUAAACUCUAAACCUUAAACCCUAAAUCCUAAACCCCAUCCUUUAACUCUAAACCCUAAUGUCUAAAUUAAUUUACCAUUAGGGUAUAAAUGUAUAUUUAUCUCUUUUGAUAAAACAUUAAAUACUACUAUUUUGAUCAUUUUUAUUCUUAGAAACUAUAUUUGUGACAAAAAACUUUUUUAGUGCUAUCCUAGUCAUUUUCUCAACAAAAUAGUUGACCAACAAAAAAAGAGAACAGAACAAAAUUGUAAUAUUUGAUCAAAAAAACAAAAUUGUAGUGUUUCACACUGUAUUUAAAUAUUUAAUAAAAAUGUCACCUCCAUUUUUCAACCCAUUUAAUUUUCAUCCUCUCCACUCUCUUUAUAAACACAUCUCUCUCUACGCUUAAAAAAGUCAGCGCUCUCUUUUGUCUCCUUUGCUUUCUCUUCUCUCCACAGAGAUUCUCAGAAGCCUUUGUCUCUCCUGAGAAAUCAAAUCAAUGGCGGACGAUUGGGAUCUACACGCCGUAGUCAGAGGUUGCUCAGCCGUCAGCUCAUCUGCAACCACCGUCUUCUCUGGCGCCGUUUCAUCUCACACGAACCCUAUGUUCACCUACGAAGAACAGAGUAAAGCAGUCUUGUUCAGAGAUAUUCAAGACUUCUACACGCCGUUCACACAAGAAUCAAAUGUAUCCUCGUUUUCUUGUCUGAAUUAUCCAGAAGAACCCAGACAGAGACAAAACCAGAAACGUCCUCUUUCUCUCUCUGCUUCUUCUGGUAGCGUCACUAGCAAACCCACCGGCUCCAAUACCUCUAGAUCUAAAAGAAGGUUCGUUUAUUUUUCUUACCAGUUCAACAAGAACCACUAAAGCUUAAACCUUUUGACGAACCCAUGAAGAAGUUUAUGAAAUUUUGCGUUUUAUUUGUCGAAUCCUCCAAGAAAUUUUGUGUUUUUUUUGUUGGACCCCAUCAACUUAUUUUCGAAUUUAAAUAUGUGUAGAUAGAUGUCUAAAACGUCUCUGUGUUGUGUUGCUUGUUUCAGAAAGAUACAGCAUAAGAAAGUGUGCCAUGUAGCAGCAGAGGCUUUAAACUCCGAUGUUUGGGCAUGGCGAAAGUACGGACAAAAACCCAUCAAAGGUUCACCCUAUCCAAGGUACUAUACAUGAAAAAGAUUAAUUGUUCUUUAAAGACUUAUGAAUGUGUGUAUUCUUUCGAGACAAAACACUUGUCCGUCUUUGUGACUCUGCUUUAAAUGAUCUCUGUUUCUAUUUCUAAUGUACGUCCGUUUAAAACAGAGGAUACUACAGAUGUAGUACAUCAAAAGGAUGUUUAGCCCGUAAACAAGUGGAGCGAAACAGAUCCGACGCGACGAUUUUUAUUGUCACUUACACGGCUGAGCAUAACCACCCAGCUCCUACUCACCGUAAUUCUCUCGCCGGGAGCACUCGUCAGAAAUCAUCUGAUCACCCGACGACCACGAUUGCUACUUAUUCAUCGUCUCCGGUGACGUCAACAGACGAGUUUGUCUUGCCUGCGGAGGAUCUAGCGGUCGGAGAUCUAGACGGAGACGAGGAUUUGUUGUCUUUGUCGGAUACAGUGGUGAGCGAGGAUUUCUUCGAGGGGUUGGAGGAGUUCGCCGGCGGAGAUAGCUUUUCCGGGAAUUCUUCUCCGGCUAGUUUUGAUCUCUCUUGGGUUGUAAACAGUGGCGCCGCAAUUAGCGGCGGAAUAUGAUUCGCGGGGGACUAGACGACGGCUUAGAAUAACUCUUUUAGGAAUAAGAUUAUAGUAUUUUUUUUUUGUUUAAAUUUAAAUUUUGAUUAUAUUAUGUUUAUUUAAUAUAUAAAUAUUAUAAUCUAUUAAAAAAAUAUAAAUAGUAUAAUCUAUGAUUUGUCUGUGAUACGCGUGGAAUAUUUGCCAUUUGUUUAGUGACUUAAACGUAUUUGAAAAUAUUCAUUUUCAACGUUAGUUUGUGGAUGAGAAAUGUCGAUUGGAAUUUAAUAGUGUGUGUUUGUUAUUAUAUACCCUUGAAAUGCUAAUGUAACGUUGCCGUAGGGAGUUUGUGAAGGUUAUUUGUUUCAUCUGAAUGUAAAUGUCUGUGCACCAGCAUUCGAUAUUCUUUUUCGGUUUAGGAAAUUGUUGUAAUUAGAGAGUUUAGAGACUGAAUAUUUCUGUGUUCUUAUUAAUGAACAAGGAUUCCUUAUAUAAGGAUUACAAGAUAAAGAUAAAUGGAAAGAGUACAUAUCAUAAUCCAACAGGAAAUAGGAAAACUACUAAAACAUAGAAAAGGAAAACAUCAUAAGUUCUAAGUCGGCUAGAUCAUUGGUCGACUCUCUCUCCUCCUUGCGGCCGCGGUUGGGCUUGAUGUGGCCGACAGGCUUUCUUCUCUUGUCUUGGUUAAUGGCAAUCCACUCCAUGAUUUAUAACACUCCCCCUUGGAUGCCAUAACCAUACAAGUUUUCUAGUACGCUUCAUGUUGCCUCAUUAAAACCUUAUCAGGAAAACCCAGUGGGACAAAACCAUGAUAAAGGAAAAAGAGUACAACACGCACUACUCCCCCUGAUGUGAACCUCAGUGUAGGUUCUACAUUCUACGCAUCUUGGUGCGUGAUAUUUCUUGUAUGUAUAGGAUGGGAGUAAUCGGCCAGUUUCAUUACUGAACCGUAAUUAGACCACUUCGACUUCUUAGGUCGUUUCUCAUGUCCUUUGACAUCGAGUGUCCCGGUAAAGCAUAUGUGCUAAGCAAUGUGAAUCACAUUGUCCUCGGAGAUCACUAUUGGGUCUUUGCAAAUCGUGUUUGCAUAUGUGCAUAGUCUAGACGUGAUCGUCUACUCUUAACUCUUUACUAUGGUCGGAUAAACCAAGUACUCAUGGACAAUGUACUAAACAUGGUUAUCAUGAACCUAUGUCUCGGUGUAUCUUCUAUACACAGAUGUAUAUCAAUGGCUUUAUAAUUUUACCAUACUAUGUCUUAUUGGCCAGAACAUAUUCAUGAUCCAUACAUAUGGUCAUCGAUCUUUCUUGCUUUAGGCAAUACCAUAUGUAUUUAUCUCGGACAUUGUAGUCCUUUAUCCAUCUCUUGAUGGUGUCUCAUGACCUCUGUUGCUGUGGAUUAUAUCACACACUGAAAUAUAUAUUAUUAGGUCAUAGAUCUCGGCUCUCACAAGCUUAUGGACUACAAUACAUUUGUAUCCGGUUGAUCUUUUGUCUCUACUAGCCCGUGAUCAAGAAGAAGGGCCAGACGCCUUUUAGUCUUAAAAGUCGGACGCGUCUAGUAGAAGAGCCAGACGUUCUUUGCUGAAGAGCCGGACGCCCUUAGACGGACAGAGUCGGACAUCUUUAGUUUGAAGGGCCGGACCCGGANNNNNNNNNNNNNNNNNNNNNNNNNNNNNNNNNNNNNNNNNNNNNNNNNNNNNNNNNNNNNNNNNNNNNNNNNNNNNNNNNNNNNNNNNNNNNNNNNNNNNNNNNNNNNNNNNNNNNNNNNNNNNNNNNNNNNNNNNNNNNNNNNNNNNNNNNNNNNNNNNNNNNNNNNNNNNNNNNNNNNNNNNNNNNNNNNNNNNNNNNNNNNNNNNNNNNNNNNNNNNNNNNNNNNNNNNNNNNNNNNNNNNNNNNNNNNNNNNNNNNNNNNNNNNNNNNNNNNNNNNNNNNNNNNNNNNNNNNNNNNNNNNNNNNNNNNNNNNNNNNNNNNNNNNNNNNNNNNNNNNNNNNNNNNNNNNNNNNNNNNNNNNNNNNNNNNNNNNNNNNNNNNNNNNNNNNNNNNNNNNNNNNNNNNNNNNNNNNNNNNNNNNNNNNNNNNNNNNNNNNNNNNNNNNNNNNNNNNNNNNNNNNNNNNNNNNNNNNNNNNNNNNNNNNNNNNNNNNNNNNNNNNNNNNNNNNNNNNNNNNNNNNNNNNNNNNNNNNNNNNNNNNNNNNNNNNNNNNNNNNNNNNNNNNNNNNNNNNNNNNNNNNNNNNNNNNNNNNNNNNNNNNNNNNNNNNNNNNNNNNNNNNNNNNNNNNNNNNNNNNNNNNNNNNNNNNNNNNNNNNNNNNNNNNNNNNNNNNNNNNNNNNNNNNNNNNNNNNNNNNNNNNNNNNNNNNNNNNNNNNNNNNNNNNNNNNNNNNNNNNNNNNNNNNNNNNNNNNNNNNNNNNNNNNNNNNNNNNNNNNNNNNNNNNNNNNNNNNNNNNNNNNNNNNNNNNNNNNNNNNNGUACACGAACUUGUAGUAUUGAUCAUGGGUUUAUCCUCUCUCCCCCUCAUGACCAUACUAUAAGGUCGUGGUGCUUGGGACAAUUAAGCCUAAUGAGUUUCCCUUUUGUGUACAUGUUUCACAACGUGAGUUCUUUUACGGGAUAACUCUGUGCCUUUUCAAUCUUUGCAUCGAGUUUAGACUUUAGGAUGGCUAAUCCUAUCAUGCCAUAUAGUGUAAAAUUUUGUGGUGUAUCUCAAUAUGGUCACCACGGUUCUUGCCUCUCAUCAUACUGAUCUUAUAGCAUAGUUUAAAUCAGUUGAGAUCAUUAGGUAUAGUCUCGACCACUUUCUUAUAAGGUCUUAGGCGAUUUUUCUUUCAAAAUCUGAAGGAACUUGUUUCCUUUUGUUUGCCCAUUGUUUCUAUUUAGAAACCAUAUUAUCAUAACUCAAUGGGUCACAUAUUAUUGGGUGUAUCUAAUGUCCUUUAGACAAUGCCUUAGCCAUAGUUUCUUUACUAGGCUCACUAUACUACUUUCACGAUUUCUUACUUGGAUAUUAUGCCCUUUAGGCAAUUCUUUAUCAGUAAAAACAUUCAUAUGUUCAAGUAAGAUCAGGCAAGAUAUAAUGAAAUCAAAGCAAACUCUUUUAUAUAUAUAUAAAAAUCGUGAAUCAUCAAGUAGGUUAAAAGAAAAUCAUAAAGCAAUAAGACAAGUCGUAUCGAAAAUUUAGUCCUUGAGACAAUCAAAAGUCUCAAAGUUCAUCUGGUCAUUUUUAGCAAUGUCAGAAUCAUUAUCGGCCUCAUAUCCGGAAUCGUGAACCAUGUGAGCCUCAGGGUUCUUGUUCUUAAGACUUUCUUGGUAGAGCUCACAUAAGUGCUUAGGGGUUCUACAGUUCUUGGCCCAAUGGUUUCCCAUUCCACAUCUGUGACAAACGGAUUUGGUCGAGUAAGACGGUUUGGAUAUGCCGCCUCGACCACGGCCAUAACUACCUCGGCCACGGCCAUAAUUGGAACCACGACCACGGUUAUUGUGGUUUCCUUUCCGGCCGGCCAAGUACCUAUCUCGACCGUUCGAGUAAUUGUCACAGUUCCUGUAUCCACCACGGCCUUUGCCGUGUGAUCUCCUAUCAUUCUGGAUGUAAUUGCACUCGUUGGGGUUUUUCUUUUCAACUUCAUUGGCCUCUGGUAAUGGGGCAGAUCCGACAGGUCUAGCUUCACUGUUCUUCAUCAGGAGAUCAUUGUUUGCCUCGGCCAGUAGCAGGCACGAGAUCAGAUUAGUGUAUGUGGCAAAGCCUUUCAUUCGGUACUGCUGCUGCAGGAUUAUGUUUGAGGAAUGAAACGUAGAGAAUGUUUUCUCGAGUAACUCUUCUUCGGUUACUACUUCACCACAAAGUCUCAGCAUCUCCUUAAUCAAUCCUAGGGUUUCUGAUUUAAACACUAGUAGGAUUCGGUUUUAAGAUUAAGGUUUCAAGGCCUUUUAAGAUUUAAAACGAGAUUUAGAGUUUUAAACAUUUAAACUUUCAAACAAUGCCUCACGGCCAAGGUAUAUGCCUUACGGCCAAGUAGGAGCCACACAGCUAUUUUGUUCAAUUCAAUGUCAUCCUUAGAGUAAUAUCUAGGUUCAAUUGCAAUCAAUCAGGUAUGAUCAAAUUCGAUUAUGAAAGCAAUAAGGCCACACGGCCAUGAGAUGAUAUAAUCAAGAUCUUUAUCAAGUUUAAUUAGGAUUUUUAGUUUAAACAUGUCAAGCAAUACAGAUUCGAGUUUAAACAAUCCUAUCAAUAUCUCUAGGUGAUCAAACAAACAAUCAAAUUUCAAAUCAAACAAUUUUAAAAUCGUUUUUCCAAAUUAGGGUUUCAGGGGAUUUCGAAAACUUUGAUCUUUGAUCAAGGGAGUUUGAUUUGAGAUUCAAAAUCAUUAAGACUUUGAUUUUAAUUGAUCAAUGGAUCAAUCUCGAAUUAUGGUUUAGGGGAUCGGACUUAUUCGAGCUCCGAUUUACUCUUUCAGGGUUUGAUCUAUUUGUCUUAAGGCUUUCAUCUUAGAGAUUAGUUUUUAGGGUUUCAAUCUUUACAAACAAUCAGGUUCGAUUCAUGUUCUCAGAAUUUAGGAUUACCUUUGUUUUGCAGGUUGUAGAAACCGGACCUCCAAGAUGAAUGGAUGAACCUCGGACGCGAGCUGCGACGCGGACGCGAGCUGUCUUCUACCUAUCGGGUCUCGAGUUGGUUGAUUGGGAACUCAAGCUAACCGUGAUACAAACUGGAAUCUGAGGUCGUCUAGGAUCAGGAACACCUUAGGGCUGGAGGUGAUCGGAUGCUGAUGAGCUGGAACGCAAGCAAGAACAAUUUAGGGUUCUUCGGGGUUAGGGUUCCAAAAGACCAAGGCGGCGCCGUGUAUUGUUUCUGCGAGCGUGGGCGCGUCUGAGAUCGGAUCGACGAACGGUUUGCGCUGAUGGAUUUUUCUCGUCAAGAGCUUCAAUUUGAUAUGUGGCGCGUCGUCUGGUUCCUCAGGGUUGGAGAGAUCGAUCGAUUUUAAGUUGCGCCUGGAUUAGGGUUUAUGUGUGAAGGAUUUUAGGUUAGGUUUUGUCUCAGGGUUUUGGAGUCUAUCGUGCUGAUAACGUGUUGUAAUUAGAGAGUUUAGAGACUGAAUAUUUCUGUGUUCUUAUUAAUAAACAAGGGUUUCUUAUAUAAGGAUUACAAGAUAAAGAUAAAUGGAAAGAGUACAUAUCCUAAUCCAACAGGAAAUAAGAAAACUACUAAAACAUAGAAAAGGAAAACAUCAUAAGUUCUAAGUCGGCUAGAUCAUUGGCCGACUCUCUCUCCUCCUUGCGGCCGCGGUUGGGCUUGAUGUGGCGACAGACUUUCUUCUCUUAUCUUGGUUAAUGGCAAUCCACUCCAUGAUUUAUAAUAGAAAUUAAUUUUUCUAGAUAAGCAUGUAUUCCUAGAGAAAAAAAAAUCGGGUUUUAAGACUGCUAUAAAUAUGGGUAUAAGAGUUCGUAAGAUUAUACAUUCACAUAAUAAUAAAAAAUUUUAAACCGGUAUUUGCUUCAAUUCGUUUUUCUUUUUCUUUUGCUUUCUUGGAAGAUGAUUCGCGUUUGUUCACAACUUUAUUGAAAUGAUUUAUUGGAUGAUUGUCAGUUAAUGCUUCUGUUUGCAUCAUACGUUGGGAAUAGUCAAUAUUUUAACUAUUUGUUGCAGAUCGUGGAAAUUGGUGUACAAAUUCUUUAGGUAUGGAACAAUCGAGUGGAUAUCGAGCAUUAGUACUUGUAAGGCGUGUGGGCUGUUGUUUUGUUUGCGGUGGUAUAGUAACUCUUCUCAGAAACCAUCGUCCAACUCUCUCUCGACUACCAUGUCCUUUUUUUUUUUUUUUUUUUUUUUUAUACAGAGGUAUCUUGUUCCUAGUGAUGUCGAAAUAUUAAUUUCCCAGUGGUCGGGAUUCGAACUCAAGUGGCAGUACUCACAGCUGUAAGCUCUUUACCACUAGACCUAGAAGCCCCGGUUUACCAUGUCCUCUCCUCUUCUUCCUUGACAUUCUUCUGCUUUCCAUAUCCUUGCAUCUCUAGAGCCAGAACGAACCUCUUCCCCUCUCCGUUGCCUCAUCCUCAAGCUCCUUAACCCUCGUAUCUCUCUGCUUCAGUAGCUGAUACAGAAACGAAGGGCUCUGCAUCGCUCUAGCCAAGAACGACAUCAUCUUCCUCUGUUUCUUCUCUGCUCCUUCAAUCCUCUGUUCCAUUGCUUUGAUGUAGCGGCUCCUGUUUUUCAAAGUAAUUGUGAAGAUAUGCAAGUGUUUCGACAUUGUCGGUAGCGCAUCAGAGGAUCGGAUGACAAAGCGUUGAAGAUGAAGAUAAUAAUUCUAGGAUCCACUUAGCACGUACUUAACAAAUCCUAUUAGGCCCAAAUCUUUUAUUAAAAGCCCACUUGACAUAACCUCUAAACACACCUGAUUAAUUGAUUUGUACGAAAGCCCGUUACACGUGUCGGCCUGUCAGAGAGUGAGGUUUCACGUGGAUAACUUAGGAGUGAGACCAACAUUUUUUUAUAUAUAUAGAUUCUCGGACUAUAUGUAAAAAUAGGAAAAAUGUUCUUUGUUAUUUUGUCAAUUUUUCCUAAAUAUUUUAGAAAAUUGUAUAUUCUUUUUUUUUUUUAAAGUGGAUAUUCGUAAAACGUAAAAUCAUUUUAUUGAGGCGAAAAAGAUUAUGUCAUAUUCCUUAAACUAUUUAAAUGUAAAAUUUGACUAAGAUUUAAGUUUUGAUUUACAUUAACUAUCCUCAAUAGAUUUAUUUAACUGUAAUUGACUAGGAUAGAUAUAAUUUUUUUACUAAGAAAACCCAAAAGUCAAUUAUUAUUUGAAGUGUAAUAAAAUAUUUAAUUUACUCCAUUUUAAGUGCUAUUUUGGGGUUUAAAAAGUAUAAUAAAGAAAUAGAGAUUAGAAACCAAUAACUUCGACAAAAAACAAAAACCAAUUUAGCGGUUAGUACCUGUAUAUUUGCAGUUUUAUUAAGUUAACCUUACCAUUAUGUUUUCCUCAAAUGGUUAUUAUAUUACUCAAAAUUGAGAUGAUCUGGAAAAUUAGAUCGGAACAAAACAACACAUGUAGUACAUGUUCGUAAGAAAAGAUCUUGCUAUCUUAUGAAUCAGACGAUACAUUUUCAGUACGAGGAAUAGAGCAAUGGAGAACUCUGUGAAUCUACUUUUCAGUUUCAUCAGCUCUUUCAGUUCAGUUCUGUUGAAAAUUUCGGUCAUGCUCCCGAAUCUUGAAUCAUUGAAACUAAGUUGUUACAAUCGGUGCCAAAAACCUGGCACGUCGAUAACUGUAGCAUGUACUCAAUUGCCUGUGAAAGGGCCUUAAGCUCCGAGUGAAGUGGUGAGAUUCUUCUUCAUUGGUUCCUUCCUCCCAUUAACUGAAUUCCUCCUCUUGAAUUUAUCUGUGUCCAUCCAUAACCACUGAAAAGUGCGUCGGGAGACCAUGAUCCAUCUAUCAUACAUCUUUCAGAGAUUCAUACAUGUUCAUGAUGUUGCAUUUCCGCUGGUACUUCUUGUUUUUGAUUAGAUUCAAACCAAGCAUGACACUCUGAUUCAGUGUGUCAGACAGUUUCCAAUUGGUCGAUGUCUAUCCCUCUGAAUAAAUGAUCAUUUCUCGCUUUCCAAAUGUGCCAAAUAAUCCAAGGGUGUGAAUCUCUAUCCAAUUUAGAAUCUUCAAUAUCAUUUUUCGAUAUAAUAAAUAGUUUAUAUUUGUGAAUUGGCUUGCACUCGGAAAUACCAAUUGUGGGUUGGGGUACCUGCUAAAGCCCAUGUUUGUAAAGCUGGCAUGCAUUCAAAGAUGACAUGGUGUAUAUUUUCUUCAUCUGCUCCACAUCUAGGACAAUGAUUGUCGCAUCGCGUAUGACGAUGACUUAGGUUGCUUGUCAUUACUUCUUGUCCCGAGAUCAUUUGCCAAAUAGAAUGUCUGAUUUUCGGUUAAGCUUUUAUCUUCCAACCAAAGGUUUGGAGCUUUGUGAUACUAGUAUCUAGCUGUGUCUCUCCAUGAUUUCCCUGUUAAGCAGGUUUGUUGCUACUCAGUAUCCAGAUUUAACAGUGUACAUACCAUUCUUUGUAUAGCUCUAGCAAUAUUCAUCUCGCUGAUGUCCUUGAUUUAUGGCCAAAGACUGGAUCAAAGGGGUAUCCUCCGGAUUGACGUAAUUUUCUAAGAGCUCGGAGUUCCAUCUUUUAGGGCUCCCUAUUAAUAGCUUACUUACUGGCAUCAUUGGAUGAAUCACAGGUGCAAUAGACAUAGCUGGUCUUGCCGGUAUCGUUGGAAUCCAAAAGACUUCCCAAAUUCUAAUCUCAUGUCGAGAAUGUACUUUUUGUCUAAUUCCUAAUGAUACUAAUGGAUUUGUUGCCCUUAUGCUCGUCCAUCCAUAUGAGGGAUUGUCUGUCUUGUUUAGUCGCAAAUGCAAACUACAUCUGAAGUAUUUUCCCCUCAAGACUCUUGCUAAUAAGGAAUCAGGGAACUGCAUUAGUCGCCACAAUUGCUUGCCUAGUAGGGCAAGAUUGAAUUCAUGGAUCAUCUUGAAUCCUAUUCAUCCCUCUUCCCUCGACCUACAAAACUUUUUCUGUUUUGUCCAAUGAAUACCUCUUUAGGUGGAUUUAAACUUCACCAAAACUGUGUAAUGGCACUAGUUAGAUUCUCACAAGUCUCAAGCGGUAGUAGAAGAGUUGACAUUAUGUAUGUAGGUAGAGCUAGUAGUAUAGAAUUUAUCAGCACUUCCUUUCCUCUCCUCGAUAACCACCGACCUGUCCAACCAUGAACUCGAUUUUGUAAUUGUUCUUUAAGGAAUGCAAAUAACUACUCGUUUGAGCCACUGAUGUCCUCUGGGAUUCCAAGAUAAGAUCCCAUCCCUCCUUCAUUUGUAAUUCCAGUUGAGGCUUUAACUUCUUCCUUCACAUGUCUAGAUAUCUUCUUACCAAAGAGUAAAAAUUAUUUUUCAAAGUUAAUACACUGGCCAGAGGCUUUCCCAUAUGUCUCAAGAGCUUUCAUGGCUUCAUCACAUUCACGGGGAUCCGCCUUACAGAAGAACAAACUAUUAUCAGCAACAAGAAGGUAUGAUACCGGGUGGUGGUGGUGGGUUAAGAAAAUCGAUAUUGUUUUGAUGAAUCUGUUAACUUAGCUUAGAUCAAUCAAAACACGUAAUUAACAAUAUUAUGCUCAAGUAAACCUGAUUUAAAACCUAAGAAUCAAGCUUCCAAAUUAGUUUUACGCUCUGAUAUAAGAGAUCAAAUCAGAAUAUUUUCAUAUGAAUCAUAAGACUUUCGUGAGACUCAAAUUUCAGUUUUUCAAUUCAUAUAUCUAUAACCAAAAAGAAACAUGAAAUGAAAUUGAAAGAUCAGCCAGUGAGAUAACUUACCAUGUUCGCAAGCCAGUGAGAGAACUAACCAUGUUCGCAAGAAUCUCAAGAGACGGCAAAUAUAGCAGCGACGAAAACAAUUAAGCGGUGGGGGGUCUUGCCGGUUGAUUUCACGGUUUUGUUUGCCCUUGAAUAAUGUGAUUAUCUGGUUUUGGUGAAUUCAGCAUAAAGAUGAGGGAUUCGAAACAGCUGUGUGCCUUUUGAUUGCUUCGACUUGGAGAUUUAUAGUCGGAGCUUUUGUCAGCUAACAAGGGAGAUGAUGAGAUCAAUUGAAUGCUUCAGAGUGGGAAGAGUGGGUUAAUGACGUAAAAGUUCCAGUUUACGUAUUAACGAGAGCUGAAGACGUUACAGUGAUUAAGUUCUCUGGAAUUUACGGCUGCUAAACUAAGAAGAUCGAAAGAGAGAAGACAAUGAAACCUAAUAUUUUUUGGGCUUGCAUUUUUUUCUUAAAGUCCAUACGCAAGUGAAAAGCAUUUUCGCUGGAUCUUCUUUUCUUAAUGACACGUAUCCAAAAACGCUCUAUUCUAUGUGGUGACGUGGACACAGAAGAAGGGAGAGAAGUCUCUUUUUGUUAUUAUAGAUUAGGGUGUACAUAAUUACAAACUCUGUUGAAGUCGUAAUUAACUGCGCCAGCUUUAAUAUAACAUGUAUUAAAUUAUUUAUAUUUUAAUAGACCAUAUUUUUAUUUUAAUUACAGACAUUAAUUUAAAAUCCCCAAAGUGAUUUGUAGGGUUGAACUGUCGUGAAAGUUCGUGAAAUAAAAGUCAAAAGAAAAAACCAAACAUUGAGAAAGAGAACUUUGGACGAAGUAACUCGUAACUUAGUUGCAAAAACAUGCAGACGAAGAAAGGGACGAAGAAGAAUCUGAUCCUGAAUUUGGCUUACAAGACGUCCAAUAUCCAGAUACACCGUUAAGUUCAGAUGAAGAGUGGGAGCAAUGGAAAAAUCCUAAAAGAGAAAAAGAAAAAGAAAAAUUUCACGGAGAUUUUGACAAAGAGCCGUACAUUUGGUUGUUUCAGAAAUUCAAUAGUGGAUUAGAGUUAAGGAUCAGCUACUACGCUACUCAUUGAAUACUCAAUAUGAUGUUAAAAUGGCAAAAAUCAGAAGCAACAAGGAUAGCUUCUAUAUGUUGCAAGAGUGACUGCCCUUGGAGAAUAUAUUGUUCGGUUGAGCGGCCAUUGAACAAGUGGAUGGUGAAAGUUUGUCACAACAAGCAUAACCAUGGAAAAUCAAGUCGAGUAUCAAUGCUGAAGCAAGGUGUGAUUGCGGGUCUGUUUAGAGAAGAAAUCAGAAGAAAUGUUAAUUUGCAGGCUGCAGAGAUAAAAGACAUGAUAAAAGAACGUUAUAACAUCGUUGUCAAUAUUUCAAAGUGUUACAAAGCCAGAUGAAUUGCUUUGGACACAGUCCUUGAAGCUCAAACCAUUCAGUUUGGUAAGCUAUGGGAUUAUGAGGCUGAGCUUAAACGAUCAAACAAAGAUAUCACUACAGAGAUUUGUACUGCUGAUGUCAAUGGUGUACAACAGUUUGUUUGUUUCUACAUUUGUUUUGAAGAAUUUCGGACGACUUGGAAGAAAUGUUGUAGACCAGUAAUUGGCCUUGAUGGAUGCUUUUUAAAGUGGGAUUUGGAAGGUGAUUUGCUUGCAGCUGUCGGUAGAGAUGCAGAUAACAAGAUGUAUCCCAUUGCGUGGGCUGUUGUUAAACGUGAAAACAAGGAUACUUGGGGCUGGUUUGUGAAAAAACUCAAACUAGAUCUCAACUUAGGAAUCGGCAGUAAUCUUACUAUCAUUUCUGAUAAGCAAAAGGUAAUUUAUUAUGUGCUUAAUUUCCAUGGUAGUAUCAAUGCUAAUUAUAUAAUCUGAACUUUGAGUUUGAUGAUAACAUAUUUGUUUUUCAGGGUAUUAUCCAUGCCAUAGCUGCUGAGCUUCCAAAAGCAGAACAUCGUAUGUGUGCAAGACAUAUAUACGGCAAUUGGAAAAAAUAUUUUUCCCGGUCAGAAUAUAAAAAUCUGUUUUGGGGUGUGGCGUACAGCUAUCAUGAAGGGGAAUCUAUAUAUAUAUAAAAUUGUUUGCCUCACUCCUAGGUUAUCCAGCUGGAAACUCGAACUCUGAGGGGCUGACACGUGUCCGACUUCUUCCAAACGCGCCGUAUCACUUAAGUUUUAAUACUUCGUGUUGGGCUUGAGUUUCCUUAUUGGUAUUGGGCUUCGGUUUUGUUGAGAGAAAGAGAUUGAACCCUAAUUCCUGUGUCCGAAGGUCAGGAAGGGAUAAGGAAAAAAUGGCACGUGUCUUCUCUGUAACCAUCUAAAACUCUUUUCUAUUCACUUCUUUCAACCAUAUCGAUCUCUUUUCUUUCUCUGAAACCGUAGACGACCGAGCUUCCAUGCAUUCACGAUAAGCCAUCAACUCAAGCUUUAAAUCAGGUCUCAUAAACUCUUUUCUCCUCAUUUAUCAUCUGCAAAAAAAUUUAUAUACAGUGAGCCUUUGAUUUGCUUCAGAUCUGAGAAGGCUGUCGGCCCCAAUAUCAACUCCUAUACCGCUUAAGAAUCGUUUGAUUGGAAGAGGCAGUAUUUAAGGUCUGGCUAGAUCGAAGAUUGAUUUUUAGGGUUUUGCUUUCAUCAUACUCUGAUUAUUUUAUGAAAUCUGAUGCAGGCUCUUCAAAAAGAAACAAACUUCAAUACUUCAAGCGAUUCGCUUUUUGAGGUUUUGUUCUUAACCUUCUUCUCCGACAAUUUUAUGAAAAUCUGAUGUUAUAACUUAUAAUGCUUUUAGGGUAGAUGGGAAAUUAACGGCAAAGAAUUUGACUUAGAAUGUUGAACAAGUUCAAACAUUCCAAGGCAGAACAAACCACUUUGGCCUCUAAACUACCUUCUUCCCAACUUAAUUAUCCACAGCAACACAAUCGCAGGAAAAGUAAGCAUCAAAUAGAGAGAAAAUUAGACACAUUACAAUCGAAUUUUUAUAGGUGAUCGAUUACUUAUUAACUGGGUUUGAUUGUUGUAGGACAUGUUCUUUCACAUGUUAAUUGUUUUCUGGAUUGGUAAGGUCAAAUAUGAUUUGGUUUCCUUAAGUUUCUGAUGGAAAAUCCAAGGAGGUUGUUGAUAGCAGCUUCCGAUAGACUGAUAUUCAUAUAUAAUUAUUGACAGAAGGUACUUGCAAAAAGAGUGGUGUUGGCAAGCCGAUGAAACUUUUGGAUUAAAUUAGUGCAUUGUUGAGGUAUCAAGAUUUUUUCAAGUUAAGUUUUGCCCACAACCUUUACAAUUUCCCAGAUUUGUUAUUGUUUUUCUUUAUUGUUGUCAAGCGUAUGUUGCUAUUCAAGAAAGAAAGAGUGUUAUGGAGUGUUCUUUCUCACCUAUGAUCUUAAAGCUGUAUCUAUCUCUCAAGUCUCAAACCAUCUGCGUCAUAUGGAGGUAAAAAUUGUUUUUUUUUUGGAGUGAUAUCUAAAUGUGUGUGUUUGCAGGAAGAGGAGACAAUUUCAUGGAAGAACAUCAAUGUUUUGUGCUCGUGCUGUGAUAUGUUUCUACUGUCUUGGUUACUUUAGAAGAUCGUCUGAGAAUCAUAGGAGGGCACUUGAAUCUCGCAGCUGAAGAAAAAGCUCCCAAGAGAAGUAAGCCACCAGAACGACUCAUGUCUUAGACGUGUUAUCCAGCUGUAGGUGUUGACGAAAGUGUGGCAUGGUGUUACCAGUCCUUCCUUUGUUCAUGCAGAUGCAGGAGUGGUCUGAUCCACUAAUAAAAAUGGACGCGGUGGGCCACUAAUGGAUCUGGUCGAUGAUUUGAAUCCAGGAACAUAAUGUAUAGUUGUAAUUUUAAGAAUUAGAAAUGCAUAAUAUAAUUGUAUUUUUUUGUAUUAUAAUUGUAAGCCUUACUUCUAAAAAGAAUGACAAAUCCUUCCUAUUGAAAAUAGAAAUUACUUUCCAAUCAAAGUAAACUAAUCAUUUUGAAAUACUCAAUAAAAUUGAUAAAUUGAUAAUAUAUUAUGCCAAACCCUAGUCACUCUAUAUUUAAUAGGUAAUGUCUUUAUGAUUAACAAGUUUCGAAGAAAAGCGUUUAGUUUCAUUAAAUGCCAAACAUGGGCACAUGAUAUAUUUUGGGUGAAGUAUGGGAGAAACAAUUCCCAUCGUGCUGAUUUCACCUUCGACGAGUUGUUUUUAGUAUGGAAUGAGCCUUGGACUGUUAUUCAGGCCCGCAUAUAUAAGUACAACACUGAUGAUUAAUCAUUCUGUGUAGUGUAUUAUACAUUGCACUGCACUAAAAUAGUGAGAGUGGUAGUGGAUGAGAGAGACGCUCGAAUCUUGAAGGAUGGUCGGUCCAGUAACAAUUCGCAUCUUAUUCACUGCGUUAAUCCUCACCCUAUAUUUUUUGGCAAUGAUAAAACUAGAUAACAUAUGUUUUCGAUUUAUGUAUAGGAAUAUACUCUUUUAUUUAAAAAUCUAAUCACUAAAUCAAAAUUUAAAUUCGUAUUCAUAUUUGUGUAUUUAUAAGCUUUCAACAUCUGUUUCUUCAAGCAGAACGUAUAAAAGUGAUAAUAGUUUUGGGUGAAUCUCCUGUAAUAGAGAAUUUUGAACUAGUUGUUAAUUAAUAUUAUCUUGAUAAGCUGAUUCAAGUGGCUGUGAUCCACAUGAAUCGGCUUUCUCAUUACUUGCUUCUAAGUUCUCCCUUUUAGUUUAUUAAUUUCCUCCUUAGAUCCUGCAACUUUUCUAGGGUUUUGGCCUUCUACCGUCGUCGGAUUUCAUACAAACUUCACAAGUCUCCAUGUGCAUUUAAAGCUUGUGGUUUAAGUAUGUUGACAUUAUAUAAUCUCCCAAGGAUUAAAUUAAGCUAAUUCCACUAAUCCCUAGGUAAACGUCAAGAUAACAUAAAGAUGAAGUUAAAGUCCAUACCUCUGCAACCAGAUUUGAGUUUAUAAUCUUGUAAUGUUGUUCAAGAACCAGUUUUGGGGUUUGUGUUGAUAUUGUGUGUUGUACAGAGUUUGAAGGAUGGUGAAGGCGAAUGUAUUAUCGAAAAUUAGAGGUUUCAGUGGCGUCAACAGACCCAUCUAUGUCUUGGCUGGUUUGGCAUUUCUCAUCUCAGUAGCUACUCUGGCUAAGUUCAACUACAUCACACCGCUAAGGUUCUCUGGUCGGUUCUGUAAUAAUCAUGGAAGCUUUGACGGCGACAACUAUAUCCUCGGAAGCCAAAUGAGAAAGACGAUAGAAUCCGCCAUCUUCAAAAUCCACCAAGAAAUGGAUGAUCUCAAGGUCUUAGAAGCUAAUUCUUCUGCUCCACCAUCUGAUUCAUCAGCUUCAGGAUCCAUGUUUAGGCAUGUAGCUUUCCUUGCUGAUGUUCUUUCACUGAUUCAGUCAGUUCAUAUGGAGUUGCCUUCCUUCGAAGAAGUGGAUCAUCCGUUGAAGCAGAGGAACGGUGACCCUGGCGAGCAUUUCAUGAGGGAAGAGAUCAAGAAGUACAUAAAGAUCAAACCGAACCGGUUUGGAAAGCAGAACUUCAUGGGAGCUAAUGGAACGUUCACUUCGAUAGGGCACGCUUGCUUUGCCAUGAAGAAAGAUGUAGAAGAGUAUAUGGACUAUGACGUGGGGGAGAUCUGCAACGACGACUGGAGACUAGCUCAGAAGCUUAUGGUUCACGGUUGCGAUCCGUUGCCUAGAAGACGGUGUUUCUCCCGUGCACCGCAGCUAUAUUACAAACCGUUUCCGAUCAACGAGUCUUUGUGGAAGCUUCCGGAUAACCGGAACGUGAGAUGGGGACAGUAUAAAUGCAAGAACUUUACUUGUCUUGCAAGCAACACGACAGCAAGAAAAGGGUUCUUCAAAUGCACUGACUGCUUCAACCUCACGCAUCACGAGUUGCCGAGAUGGGUUAACCGAGGAGAACUCGAUCCAGAGACAAACCAAACAGCUGAUUUCUCGAUACAAGAAGUAAUUGAAAUCAAACCGGGAGAGAUUAGGAUCGGUUUGGACUUCAGCGUUGGCACGGGGACUUUCGCAGCGAGGAUGAGAGAAAGUAACGUCACCAUUGUAACAGCAACAAUCAACCUAGGAGCUCCAUUCAACGAGAUGAUCUCUCUGCGUGGUUUAGUCCCAUUGUACUUAACCGUGAACCAACGGUUACCUUUCUUCGACAGCACGCUUGAUAUGAUUCACACGACGAGGUUUCUUGAUGGAUGGAUCGAUCUGAUACUUCUGGACUUCGUGCUGUUUGAUUGGGACAGGGUUUUAAGACCAGGUGGGUUGUUGUGGAUAGAUAGUUUCUUUUGUCUGAAAGAGGAUUUGGGUGAUUACAUGGAGGCGUUUAAAGCUUUGAGGUAUAGGAGACAUAAGUGGGUUGUGGUGCCUAAGAGAGAUAAAGAUGAUAAAGAAGUUUUUUUCUCUGCUGUGUUAGAGAAACCUCCAAGACCCUUUAGAUGAUUCAAUCAUUGCCUAAUGCUUUGUGUUUACUAUUGUCUUUGUAACAGAAAAUGUGAAAAUAAGAUAUAGUUCACUACAAGAAAACGUUUCUACGACGAUUUACGAGGAAAUUAUUUCCUCGUAAAUUUACAUGGCGUUUACAACGAAAUUACGAGGAGUCCAAAAUUCGUCGUAAACUCGAUGUAACUUUACGACGAAACAGUUGCAUCGUAAAGUCAAUGUAAGUUUACGACGAAAGUACGUGGAAAGAUAAAUUCAUCGUAACCGUUACAUCGACAUUACAACGAAACAUGUUACCGUUAUAUUUAGGUGAAAACGUGUAUUCUAUGUGCUUUAACUUAACUAAUUUCGUUGUAAAGUGGUUGUAAGUUCAUGUAAAAUCGUUGUUAUAUCCAUGUAAAACAUUCCUUGUAAAAUCGUUUUUAUAUUUCACCUACCAAACUCGAAAAUUUCUCUAUAUAUAUGUCAUUUCCCACAACUCUCUUCCUCACAACACACAAACGAAAAAAAAAAAUUAGGAAAUUUUUUUUUGAAAACAAAAUCUAAGAAAAAAAAUGGUCGGUGGCGGUAGUAUUUACGAGUUACGGAGUUAGAUGUAUUUGCACAAAGAUUCCGACGGGAGGGUGACGAACGCAUUUCUGAGCGGGCUAGAGACAUUCAUGCACCAGGCGGGCUGUACACCUCGGAUUUCAUACAAACUUCACAAGUCUCCAUGUGCAUUUAAAGCUUGUGGUUUAAGUAUGUUGACAUUAUAUAAUCUCCCAAGGAUUAAAUUAAGCUAAUUCCACUAAUCCCUAGGUAAACGUCAAGAUAACAUAAAGAUGAAGUUAAAGUCCAUACCUCUGCAACCAGAUUUGAGUUUAUAAUCUUGUAAUGUUGUUCAAGAACCAGUUUUGGGGUUUGUGUUGAUAUUGUGUGUUGUACAGAGUUUGAAGGAUGGUGAAGGCGAAUGUAUUAUCGAAAAUUAGAGGUUUCAGUGGCGUCAACAGACCCAUCUAUGUCUUGGCUGGUUUGGCAUUUCUCAUCUCAGUAGCUACUCUGGCUAAGUUCAACUACAUCACACCGCUAAGGUUCUCUGGUCGGUUCUGUAAUAAUCAUGGAAGCUUUGACGGCGACAACUAUAUCCUCGGAAGCCAAAUGAGAAAGACGAUAGAAUCCGCCAUCUUCAAAAUCCACCAAGAAAUGGAUGAUCUCAAGGUCUUAGAAGCUAAUUCUUCUGCUCCACCAUCUGAUUCAUCAGCUUCAGGAUCCAUGUUUAGGCAUGUAGCUUUCCUUGCUGAUGUUCUUUCACUGAUUCAGUCAGUUCAUAUGGAGUUGCCUUCCUUCGAAGAAGUGGAUCAUCCGUUGAAGCAGAGGAACGGUGACCCUGGCGAGCAUUUCAUGAGGGAAGAGAUCAAGAAGUACAUAAAGAUCAAACCGAACCGGUUUGGAAAGCAGAACUUCAUGGGAGCUAAUGGAACGUUCACUUCGAUAGGGCACGCUUGCUUUGCCAUGAAGAAAGAUGUAGAAGAGUAUAUGGACUAUGACGUGGGGGAGAUCUGCAACGACGACUGGAGACUAGCUCAGAAGCUUAUGGUUCACGGUUGCGAUCCGUUGCCUAGAAGACGGUGUUUCUCCCGUGCACCGCAGCUAUAUUACAAACCGUUUCCGAUCAACGAGUCUUUGUGGAAGCUUCCGGAUAACCGGAACGUGAGAUGGGGACAGUAUAAAUGCAAGAACUUUACUUGUCUUGCAAGCAACACGACAGCAAGAAAAGGGUUCUUCAAAUGCACUGACUGCUUCAACCUCACGCAUCACGAGUUGCCGAGAUGGGUUAACCGAGGAGAACUCGAUCCAGAGACAAACCAAACAGCUGAUUUCUCGAUACAAGAAGUAAUUGAAAUCAAACCGGGAGAGAUUAGGAUCGGUUUGGACUUCAGCGUUGGCACGGGGACUUUCGCAGCGAGGAUGAGAGAAAGUAACGUCACCAUUGUAACAGCAACAAUCAACCUAGGAGCUCCAUUCAACGAGAUGAUCUCUCUGCGUGGUUUAGUCCCAUUGUACUUAACUGUGAACCAACGGUUACCUUUCUUCGACAGCACGCUUGAUAUGAUUCACACGACGAGGUUUCUUGAUGGAUGGAUCGAUCUGAUACUUCUGGACUUCGUGCUGUUUGAUUGGGACAGGGUUUUAAGACCAGGUGGGUUGUUGUGGAUAGAUAGUUUCUUUUGUCUGAAAGAGGAUUUGGGUGAUUACAUGGAGGCGUUUAAAGCUUUGAGGUAUAGGAGACAUAAGUGGGUUGUGGUGCCUAAGAGAGAUAAAGAUGAUAAAGAAGUUUUUUUCUCUGCUGUGUUAGAGAAACCUCCAAGACCCUUUAGAUGAUUCAAUCAUUGCCUAAUGCUUUGUGUUUACUAUUGUCUUUGUAACAGAAAAUGUGAAAAUAAGAUAUAGUUCACUACAAGAAAACGUUUCUACGACGAUUUACGAGGAAAUUAUUUCCUCGUAAAUUUACAUGGCGUUUACAACGAAAUUACGAGGAGUCCAAAAUUCGUCGUAAACUCGAUGUAACUUUACGACGAAACAGUUGCAUCGUAAAGUCAAUGUAAGUUUACGACGAAAGUACGUGGAAAGAUAAAUUCAUCGUAACCGUUACAUCGACAUUACAACGAAACAUGUUACCGUUAUAUUUAGGUGAAAACGUGUAUUCUAUGUGCUUUAACUUAACUAAUUUCGUUGUAAAGUGGUUGUAAGUUCAUGUAAAAUCGUUGUUAUAUCCAUGUAAAACAUUCCUUGUAAAAUCGUUUUUAUAUUUCACCUACCAAACUCGAAAAUUUCUCUAUAUAUAUGUCAUUUCCCACAACUCUCUUCCUCACAACACACAAACGAAAAAAAAAAAUUAGGAAAUUUUUUUUUGAAAACAAAAUCUAAGAAAAAAAAUGGUCGGUGGCGGUAGUAUUUACGAGUUACGGAGUUAGAUGUAUUUGCACAAAGAUUCCGACGGGAGGGUGACGAACGCAUUUCUGAGCGGGCUAGAGACAUUCAUGCACCAGGCGGGCUGUACACCAAUCAUGCAGGAAAGCGGUAAGAUGUUCUGCCCCUGUCGGAAAUGCAAGAAUUCAAAAUUUGCACGUAGUGAAACUGUAUGGAAGCAUUUAGUAAACAGAAGAUUUACACCACAGUACUACAUUUGGUAUCAACAUGGAGAGAGUUAUGGGGGAAAUGAAGCUAGUAGUAGUAAUAAUAAUUUUGAGGAUGCUCAUCAUAAUGAAGAACCGAAUCAUUUGCAUAAUGAAUAUAAUUAUCAUCAGGAGGAGCAGAUGGUAGAUCAUGAUAGGGUUCAAGAUAUGAUUAGUGAUGCAUUUUUAGAAACAACUACAACAAUAGCUGAUAAAAUUGGAAAUGUAGAAGAACCUAAUUUGGAUGCAAAAAGGUUUUAUGAAAUGCUAGAUGCUGCAAAUCAACCAAUCUACACUGGUUGUAGAGAAGGUCUCUCUAAAUUGUCUCUAGCAGCUAGGAUGAUGAAUAUAAAAACGGAUCAUAAUUUACCUGAGAAUUGCAUGGAUGCAUGGGCAAAGUUGUUUAAAGAGUAUUUGCCAGAAGACAACGUGUUUGCUGAAUCUUAUUAUGAGAUUCAGAAAUUGGUUUAUAGUCUUGGGUUGCCUUCAGAGAUGAUUGAUGUUUGCAUCGACAACUGCAUGAUCUACUGGAAGGAAGAUGACAAGUUAGAAGAGUGUCGAUUAUGCAAAACACCACGAUUCAAACCGCAAGGCCGUGGGAGGAAUAGGGUACCGUACCAAAGAAUGUGGUACCUACCAAUUACAGACAGAUUGAAACGAUUAUAUCAAUCUGAGAGGACUGCUGCGUCGAUGAGGUGGCAUGCUGAACAUGUCCAGAGAGAUGGCGAGGUUGCACAUCCAUCAGACGCAAGAGCGUGGAAACAUUUCAACAAGGUACACCCAGAUUUUGCUACAAAUAUUCGGAAUGUCUAUCUUGGGUUAUGCACCGAUGGAUUUAGUCCAUUUGGAAUGUCUGGUAGACAAUAUUCUUUGUGGCCAGUCAUUCUUACGCCGUACAAUUUACCGCCGGAUAUGUGCAUGUAACAAGAAUUUCUAUUUUUGACCAUAUUAAUCCUUGGGCCGAAGCAUCCAAAACGGUCUCUUGAUGUUUUUCUUCAACCGUUGAUAGAAGAGCUAAAGCAAUUGUGGUCGGAAGGGGUGAUGACGUACGAUUGUUCCUUGAAAAACAAUUUUACGAUGCGAGCAGUUCUGUUGUGGACGAUAAGUGAUUUCCCUGCUUAUGGGAUGUUGUCUGGCUGGACAACACAUGGAAGAUUAUCUUGUCCAUAUUGUCUUGGAUCGACAGAUGCUUUUCAACUGAAGAAUGGUAGGAAGAGUUGUUGGUUUGAUUGUCAUCGUCGCUUUCUUCCACUUUCCCAUCCGUACAGAAGAAAUAAGACAUUGUUUCGGCACAAAAAAAUUGUCAGAGACAGUCCUCCACCAUAUCUCACCGGCCAGCAGAUCGAAGCGGACAUUGAUUAUUACGGAGCUCAGGAAACAGUUAAGAUUGGAGGAAACUGGCAUGUUCCUGGAAAUAUGCCUGAUGGGUAUGGUGUCUCUCACAAUUGGCAUAAGAAGAGUAUAUUUUGGGAGCCACCCUAUUGGAAGGAUCUUCUCUUACGCCACAAUCUGGAUGUCAUGCAUAUUGAGAAGAACUUUUUUGAGAACAUCAUGAAUACAAUACUUAACGUCCCUGGGAAGACAAAAGAUAACAAAAAGUCAAGGAUGGACUUACCUGAUAUUUGCUCAAGAAGUGAGUUACAUAUCAAGAGCAAUGGAAACGUUCAUGUUCCCAUCUUCCGGUUGUCAUCAGUCGCCAAAACAACUUUGUUUGACUGGGUUGCAUCAGAAGUUAAGUUUCCUGAUGGUUAUGUUUCAAAUAUGUCAAGAUGUGUUGAACGAGGUCAAAAGUUCUCCGGAAUGAAGAGUCAUGAUUGUCAUGUGUUUAUGCAACGACUACUUCCAUUUGCUUUUGCCGAGCUCCUUCCAGCAAAUGUCCAUGAAGCACUUGCAGGUAAUUAUAAAUUUAUAAUAUAUAUACAUAUGUUAUGAAAUGUUAUUAAUUUGAUUACUUUUGCAAUAUACAGCCAUCGAAGCAUUUUCAGAGAUCUUAGCACACGUACGUUCAAGGAAGAAGUCAUCGAACAACUUCAUCAGAACAUUCCGAUCAUAUUGUGCAACCUGGAGAAGAUAUUUCCUCCUUCAUUUUUUGACAUUAUGGAGCAUCUAGUUGUCCACCUACCGUAUGAAGCAUUUCUUCGUGGACCUGUUCACAACAGAUGGAUAUAUCCGUAUGAGCGACAGAUGAAACAUUUGAAGGGGAAAGCGAGAAAUCUUGCAAAGGUGGAAGGUUCAAUAGUUGCGGGGAGUUUGACAGCCGAAACAUCUAACUUCACAUCAUACUACUUUGCUCCAACUGUUCGUACGAGAAAAAGAGUUCCUAGAAGAUAUGAUGAUGGUGGAGUACCGACAUCAUAUCCAAUUGAUGGUGUUCCUGACAUUUUCUGCCAAAUUGGACGGUUUGGUGGUAAAACGAAAGAAGUAUGGUGGUCAUGUGAAGAGGAUAAACAUAGUGCCCACACUUAUAUUCUGCUCAACUGCGAGGAUGCAGUGACCUGUUACUUUGAAAGGUAAAUAUUUUUGUGAAAGUUAAUAAUAUGAAUUGAAGUUAAUUAUAUAUGACUUGAUCAUUUGUUUAAUUUGCAGCAUGUUUGUAUCUCAAGUUGAAGAAGCAAUACCAGGAAUAUCUGCAAUCGAUGUGGACACACGGAAAGAUAAGCACUUUGUCAAGUGGUUAAAAUCACAGGUACGUAAUAUAUCUCAUACAUUGAUUAAUUAAGCAAGUGUUUUGAUAUUUCAAUAUUAAUUAAGAAUAUCUGUUUUUUCCAGGUUGAUUAUGACGAUCCAUAUUAUCCCCUAUGGUUUCACGAUUUGGUUCAAGGUCCAGUUACAAUGGUCACCACAUCACCUAUGUAUUUCACACGAGGAUUUACUUUUCACACAUACGAGUAUGGGAGACAUCGGGCAACGAGUAACUACGGAAUAUGUGUGAAAGGUGAAACAGACUUUUACGGGAUCUUGAAGGAGAUUAUUGAAGUGGAAUUUCUGGAGUUAUUGAAGCUAAAAUGUGUCCUCUUCAAAUGUGAAUGGUUCGAUCCUGUUGUGAACCGAGGGAUUCUGUAUAACAAAUUUGUUGUUGUGGAUGUCAAUUUUGGGAGAAGAUAUAACAAAUUUGAGCCUUUCAUUUUACCUUCACAAGCCGAGCAAGUUAGCUUCAUUCCUUAUCCUCGGCUUCGAACUUCCGGGAUAAACUGGUUAGCUGCUAUCAAAAUUACACCUCGUGGACGCAUUGUCGCUGGAGAAGAACCGCCCUUGCAAGAAGAAGACGCUAUCACUGAAGUUGAAGUACCAGAACAACAAACUGAUGAAAUCCUUUUGAUCGACCCGAAAAACUUUCAAUAUGAAGAUAUUCCCGAAGAUGCGAUAGAUGAAGCACGUGAAGACGAGUUCGAGAGAAGCGACGAUGAUGAUUGUAAUGAUAGUGAUGAGAACGAAAACGAUUUAGAGUGAUGUAAUAUUGAUGAGAACGAAAACGAUUUAGAGUGAUGUAAUAUAUGUAACAAAUGUUGUAUUUCUCUAUUGUAAUGUAUUUUUAAAGAAAUAUUGUUUUUAUAUCAUCUUAACGUAUGUGUAACAAAUGUUGUUUUAUAUAAUAUGUAUUUCUUUAGUUUUUAAAAAUUUAUUUGGAGUUUUAGAGUUUAAGUUGGAGAAAGAGUAAGAAGAAGUAAAGAAGAAGAUGAUGAUGUUAGAUGGGAACGAAAACGAUUUAGAGUGAUGUAAUAUUGAUGAGAACGAAAACGAUUUAGAGUGAUGUAAUAUUGAUGAGAACGAAAACGAUUUAGAGUGAUGUAAUAUUGAUGAGAACGAAAACGAUUUAGAGUGAUGUAAUAUUGAUGAGAACAAAAACGUUUUAGAGUGAUGUAAUAUAUGUAACAAAUGUUGUAUUUCUCUAUUGUAAUGUAUGUUUAAAUAAAUAUUGUUUUUAUAUCAUCUUAACGUAUGUGUAACAAAUGUUGUUUUAUAUAAUAUGUAUUUUUUUAGUUUUUAAAAGAGAAAGAGUAAGAAGAAGUAAAGAAGAAGAUGAUGAUGUUAGAUGAUAUGUGACAUUGGGGUUUAGGGAUUUCAUUCUCGGGGUUUAGGGUUAAGCGUAGUAAAAUCCUUGUAAAAAUAACACGGGCCUGGUAACUUCGGCGUAAAUCGUUAAAUCGAUUCCACGUAAUUUCGUCGUAAAUGAAAAAAGACGAAUAGCGUAGUAAAAUCCUUGUAAAAAUAACACGGGCCUGGUAACUUCGGCGUAAAUCGUUAAAUCGAUUCCACGUAAUUUCGUCGUAAAUGAAAAAAGACGAAUCCUGGUAACUUCGUCGUAAAUGAAAAAAGACGGGCCUGGUAACUUCGUCGUAAAUGAAAAAAGACGGGCCUGGUAACUUCGUCGUAAUAUUACGUGGAGUUUACGACGAAUGUCUUUCCUAUAUAUUGAGACGCCGCAGAACGAGGCUGCCUCGUUCAUUCCUCUCAAACUCCGUUGCUCUCCCUCUAAGGUAAACUCCCUCUCUCUUCUAUUUUUUUUUAAGUUAGUUUAGGUGAUUAAUUAGUUAGGUAAUUAGUUUAGGUGAUUAGUAAGGUAAUUAGUUUAGGUGAUUAGUUAGGUGACGGAAUAAUAGUUUAGGUGAUUAGUUAGGUGACAGAAUAAUUUUUUAAUUAUGUCGUAAUUGAUUAAAUUUAUUUUAAUUUUUUUUGAUGGCUCCUAGGAGGAAACCAGCAGCACCUACUUAUUCUCAGUUGUUUGGCGAUGGUUCCGGUACAUCUUUUUCCGGUCCAUCAUCUUCCGAUGCAGUUCCAGACUCUCAGACUUCUCAGAGAGUUUCUUGGAGUCCUCCUCCUCCACCACAGAUGCCUCCACCUCCUCCUCCAGCGGCUGCACCUCAGCCUGUCCCAGAAGGUGCAGUUCAUCCAGAUUUGCGUGUGCCUUCAUAUGCACCAUUCGCGAGAUAUACGGUGGAGGAUUUGCUUGCCCAGCCUGGACGGGAGGGUUUGGAAGUUCUAGACCCCGAUAGACCCCGAGGAACUUAUUGGUAAGUUAUUAAUUUUUAUAACAUUAAAAUUUAAAUUAUUUUUAUUUUCUAACAAUUAAAUUGUUUUUUUUUCAGGUUUGGGGCUAACAACCGUGUUAGCCGGAGCGUUUCGGCGACGAUUAAGGGUUACUACGACGGGGCAUAUCCGAACUGGAGCAUGACACCAAAUCACGUUAAGAUCACUUGGUUUAAAUGUUUUGCGGUAAGAUUUUUAAAUUUAAUUAAAUUUUCACUUUUAAAUAUUACUUUUUAUUUUAAAAUAUUUAUUAUUAAUUGUAAUUUCUUCAAAAUUUUUGUGUUUCAGCAAAAGUGGCAUUGGUCUUUGGGAAUCACCGAGAGGGUGAAGACGGAAUUUGUUGCAAAGGCAAAGAUCCGCCUUUGCAACACAGUCUCCGAUUGGAAGGACAAGUGGGAGAUCUACAGGUAUGAGGGAAAGCCCACUGAGCUCACGAAGGAUGUGUGGGAUGGCCUCCUCGCCUAUUGGAAGCUACCCUCUUCGAUCAAAAAGGCCAAUUCGUGCUCUACUUCUCGAAGAACGAAGGAUAGAGAUGGUCAUUUGCCCAUGCUUCACAGAACCGGACAAAAACCUCAUGCAGAAGUCCGUCUAGAAGCUGUAAGUUUUGUUUUCAAUAUUUAUUUUAAAAUUUUCAAUUAAUUUAAAUUUUAAUAUUUAAUUUAAUUUUUUUUUUGUAGUUAGAGAAGACGGGAGUCUUACCAUCUCUGUCCGAGCUAUUCAAGAUGACUCACGCCACAUCCGACGGAGUUUUUGUGGAUCCUGCAUCUGAGAAACUCUUCCAUGCAGUGGCUGCUCGGAUUGAAGAACGAGAGACGCAACUAACCCAGCAGUCUCCCGAUGGAUUACCCGUCACAUUGACCACCGAAGAGGCCGACAGAAUCUUCGAAGAGGUACAACUUAAAAUUUUUGUUUACAUUAUUUUUAAUAUUUUAACAUAAUUAACUAUAUUAAUAUAUGUUUUAAUUUUAUAGGUGGCUCCUAAAAAGAAGGGACGGACAGUCGGCAUAGGCUAUGUUAACGAAGUUGCCUUCGAGACGGGAUGAAGAGACUUCUCAGAUGAAAGCUCGAAUGAAUAGCCAGCAGGUUCGUUUAGACUCUCUUGAGGAUCUGCUAGACGUGAUGGCGGUGGGAAACCCGACUAUGCAGAGAAUGUUGAGUGAGAGAUGAGCCGCUCUUGGGUUGCCAGUACGAGAUCCCGAAGAGUCCGAUCCAAACCGUCAACAGCCGAGCAACCCCACCGACUACUUCGAGGAUAUGUAGUUUUUUAUAUAUUUAUGUUUGUAUUAUGAAUUUAAAUAUUAUUGUAUGACUUUUAAAUGCUUUUUUAAAAUAUGUUUUUCAUUUUCAUAUUUCGUUUUAAAAUUUAAAAUAUUUUAAAUUCUGAAUAUUAAAUAUAAAUUCAAAUUUAUUAUAUACUAAUUAAUAAUAAUAUAAUAAGAAUCGAUGUAAACUCCUCGUAAACAUUACAUGGAGUUUACAUCGAAUGUUUACGAGUGAUUAACAUCGAAAAAUUUACGAGGGUUUUACAUCGAAAUGUUUACGAGUGAUUUACAACGAAAGUAUUUACGUGUGCUUUACAUCGAAAUCAUUAUGUGGGCUUUACCACGAAAUCUUACGUGUCGUUUACGACGAAUUCUUUCCCUGCGCUUUACGAGGAAUAUAUUUCGUCGUCAACGUAACGAGUCGUUUACGACGAAACCUCCGUUACGACGGACGUUUAACAACGAAACGUCUUUCAAGGUUAAUUCAUCGUAACACCCCGUUUACGACGAAUUUACAACGAAUACUGCCCUCGUAAAAAAUAUGUUUUCUUGCAGUGGUUUGACUAUAUGUUCCGAUUAUUGUUAUUGUUCUUCUUACAGAUAAAAGGUGUUUUACAUAUCUGACAUUAUAUCUGUAAUAAAAAACACUAAGAGGAUGUUAUUCUCGUUCAUGUAUUUUAAUUGAUUUGUAAACCCACAUGUGAUUUACAAAUCAAACUAAAAUUUCUUAAAUUACAAAUCUAACGCAUGGAUUUUAAUUAGUAUUAUUAUUUAUAAAUCCAAAUAUUUUUAAUGGGAUUUUUUGAGUAAUUCAGAUUAAAUAGAUCUAGUAAAAUUGUUCAAAACGAUGUUUAAUAUAAGAAGAAAGUAUUCUUGGAACUGCUGUUCUUUCAAAUUGUUUUACAUAAGUUUGGUUUUUCAUUUAGUGUCAAAACGGGUCACCUCGCUGGACUAGUUUAUCCAUCUACAAAUUAACUUCUUGUAAAGCUAUGGAAACGAUAAAGGAGUUGAUGAUGGUCCAAAAACCCAUCAAGUUGAAUGAGGGAAAUUUCGGACAUUGGAAGGCACAAAUGAGACACAUCAUGCGUGGAAUCGAUGAAUCCUCUGCAGAAACCCUUUUGGUCGUUUUGUGACGCCAUAAAUGCUGGGAACUGCAGAUAAACUACAUAUUUCUUAAAAUGUAGUCUCAUAACACUAUGUUUUGAGACUUUUACCUCAUAAUAUACCCGACUCUUUGAAAUAUGUGGGAUUUUAAUCAAGGUUUGCUUAAAAUGAAACUUUGAAGAAAAUGCACGUUGUCAAGAAUAUGAACUCACUGUCUCCAAUGCCCGAGGAUGGGGAUACAUGGUCUGUGAUGCCGAGCUGGGUAUUACCAACAAGAUCCUUCUUAGAGUUUGUCAUGUUUUUCAAGGUGCUUGCUUGCUUGUUAUAACCCAUUUCAUUGAUCGUCUCAACCAGACCCUCAUUGGAAAAAACUGAGUACUUAGUUAGAGAGUGUUUGUCUUGUGUUGUAGGAUGCUUGUGGAUUCUUUGGAUGCACAAAUAUAUGAAGAGCAUCAUCAAACAAACCGUUGUUAUCUGAGUUUGACCAAAGUAAGAAACUCGUUCUUUCUUCUGCCAAACAGAUCUAUCCAUGUGGGUUUUGAUUUUUAGUUUUGUCACAUUUCUACUCAUGGUUACUAGAGCUUAUAGUGAAAGUAUGGGCUUACCACAACGCGAGACGCAAUGUCUACACUCUACAUAGAUCUUGGGACUGGUUUGAUGCAGGAAUAACCACAAACAGAAAGACCGGAGAAGGCAAAUGUGGGUGAAGUGGUUUGAAUACUCAACUCUGAAAACAAUGGACGAGGAUCUUGCAGAGGAAGCAUGCAUACUCAGAAGACUGUGGCCAGGUUCAAUAGAGAAAGAGAAGCAAAGGAUGAAUCAAAGAGGAGAAGAAAAAGAAAUGUAAAAUUAAGCUGAAUAGAAUGAGAAGUAACAAUCAUCACCAGAAAGACCAGAAAAAUAUGUAAAACCAUCACCUGAAGACGCUUAAAAGAACAGGUUAAAGAUUUAUUUUUCUUAGGUCAUAAGAUUUGUUUCGUUCAUUGGUAUAAAAAGGUCUCAAGUCUCAAUCAUUUAUCCUCUCGCUCUCGCAUCUCUCUUCGACGGCUUUAACUCUCAAGCGGUGAGCUUAAGGAAGAAGAAAGAGAGAAGAUGGAAGCUGGAAACACUGAGAAGGCUGAGUAAUCGCACGUUCUUGAGAUCAAUCUCAUCUCGGCGCAAGGACUUAAGGAACCGACAGGGAAGCUCCGGCGAUUUCAAACUUAUGCAUCCGUCUGGGAUGAUUCUUCCAACAAGCUCAGGACUCGGAUUGAUCGGAUCGGCGCUAAGAAUCCGAUAUGGAACAACAAAUUCGUUUCCAGGUUACUUCGGAGUUCCUCUUCAGCAAAACUUCUGGCGUUUCCAUCGAGAUUUGUUCUGUUGCUUACCUGCGCGAUCAUCUGAUCGGAAUCGUACGUUUCCUCCUGAGUAACUUCCUCCCAACCGCCACCGUUAAAGUUCCGUUCCGUCUCUCGUCGUGCUUCAGAUCCAUCGUUCUUCUUGAAAUUUCCACGGCUUUCUUAACAUCGCGGCCAUGGUGAAUUGGUGAUCGACGCUUUUGAGCUCCCCGCUGAUUUCUUCAAGUCCGUUCAAGAAAAAAGCGGCUGAGAGUCGUUGGGAAUGAAAGAUGAUAAAAUCCAGAUUUGCUGUCAGUUUCGCUGACCACGGCGGUAGUUCGAAAGAGAAUUCGUUAUCUUGAUCGGUAAAUUUCUCAGACGUCGGUACGGACUCAAUGUGGUCUUCUCCUCUUAGAGACUGGAACGCAAUUCGAAAUCAGGCGGGAAAGAAUCAAGUGAGUUCGUCAUCGGACGGCGGAGGGUUGAUGUGCUGUUGCUUGAUAAAAUCAUCGGGAAUGAUACCAGGAAGUUGAUGGACGGCUGAGAUCUCUCCGCGUUUGAGAAGCCAUUUUGGUUUCUUAAAGCACGCAUAUUUGGCAGGUGCACCCCUACGGUUCGGUUCAGAUCAUCCUCGAUCAUACGUCGUCGUUGGGAAGUUCCCGCGGUUAUUAGUCUUCUUAACAAAUUCUAAAAUUAAGAGCGCAUGCAACGAUGCAACGGCGGUACGUAGCUGGAAUCCUUAAAAAAAAAAUUAUUAUAAAACUACAUGGAGUCUAUUUUUUAGGUUUUUGUGUAGGUUUAAGCUGUUAAAUUUUUUCCUUAAAUAUUCCAUCUGGUAGAGUCUGUUAACUAUUCACGGACCCCGCUAAAACAUAAACUUCAUUUCUUUUUGUCAAAUCAUUUCGUUUGUGAACUCUAAAUAAUUCGUUUCAGUAUGAGUAAGAAGAGAUAUCAUAUUCCCUCUGUUUUGUCAUUUUAGCAUUUUUUCUUGUUACACGAAAAAUGUUGUUUAACAAUUUUAAUGCAAUUUAUAUUUACUUUCAACACAGUAUUAAGUGUAAAAUGCAUUGAUCUUAUAAAUAAAUUUAUUUAUCUAAAAUGUUAUCGGUUAAAUAAAUGACAUUAAUGGAAACGUAAAUACAAUUUAAUCAGUUUUUUAAUGUGUAAUUUCUAAGCCACUCUGAAACGAAUAAAGUAUAUCAUAACUCUCUAUUUAUUCGUCUUAAGAACAAACCAUGUAUUUUUUAAGCAAAAAAAACCCCAUAUAUUUUUGAAUUUGUUAACUUCAGCCUUUUUCGUAACACGUACUUAGGUUGCGUGCGUCUGAAGCAAUCAUGAUAUCUUUACUUGCCUAUGGUGUAUCGUUCUUUCAUGCAUGUUUUUAUCAUCUUCACCAGCUGAACUGGGGUCAACUUUUAAAUAGAUUUCAUUGCCAGUGGAUCUAAGAUAAUAGUUUCAGACUACACAAGAUACAUUGUUGAAACAGGGAGAUUGUACAAUAAUCACAUUACAAGAAAAUUCCAGAUAUAAAGAUGGUUUAUUUUAUUAUUUUAAAAAGAAUCUAUUCGGUCCCAGCGAUCUUCUUCUUCAAGGAAUCAAUAUCCUCAGCCAGUUCCUUUCUGCUUGACUGAAACAAAGAUGAACAGAUAUAAUUUGAUUAAUGUCAGAUCAUUGAUGCUUUUAUAGAUUUUAUAACCUUAGUCGCAGCUAUGUUACCUUGAAGAGGAGGUAUCGGUAGACGAACCAUCCUGUGUAGUCGAGACCAACAAGUUCCAUAACUUUGGGAAGCUACACUCAAAACAAACAAACAUCACUCGGGUCAAACCCAUUACACUUUCUGAUAUCUACAACCAAAAGUUUUUUUUCUUAAAAGGAUUGUAUUGUUACCAGAGGAACAGAGUUGAUGGCACCAACAACAAUGGAAGAUAACCAAACAGCAACAAUGGCUCCUCCUCCAUAUAUUAUUACAGUCGACUUGUUCUCAAGACCAUCCCACUGCACCAUAACCGAUAAUCAAAACAAAACACAAAGCCAAUCCAAGUCCAACUCAGUUCAAGCAAUGGCUUCUUACCUUUUCCUUCAAGUCUGUGAAGAGUUCGUUGGUGUCAAUGGACGUUGAGGUCUCAUCUGAUGAAGAAGCUCUCAUCUUCAUCAAUUCACCCUUCUGCGAACCAUUACCUGCGAUUUAAACCGUACAAGAUCUAUUAAACCAAGAUUAUAUAAUAAACCGAGCUUAAUUUUGAAUUUAAACCACUAUACCGAACCUGAAACUAGCUUCGGCGGAACAGUGAAAGAGGAUCGGCCAAAUGAGCGAGGAGGCAGCGGAGGAAGGUAAGGAACGGCGGAGAAGCUGGCGGAGACGGAGGUAACACGUGGAAUCAUCACUGCCACAGAGGACGAAGCUGCUACUGUCAUCGCCAUCGAAACACACCAGAUAAUCUAUUCUUCUUCUUCUUCUUCUUCUUCUUCUUUAAUUUCUCCACACUCGUUUUUCUUUUCAGCUGCGCUUUUUGACUAGACAAGGUUUCGUAUAGCAACACGUGGAUGUUCCUCGUGGUCUUAUUGGUUGCUGCUCUUAUCUUUAGAAAUCCAACUCAGUGGUGUUUAUAGAAUGCAAGGUUUAAGGCCCAUUUAUAAUAUGGAUCCAUUAUAAAACCCAUUGUAUAAUCCAACUCUUUUGUCGUAUCCUCUCUAUGUCUAGUCUAGGUGAGGGAACAUAGAAACCUGCAUACAUGGAAAAAGGAUCAUUCAAACCGUUGAUCUUGGCUUAUGCGGAUGAUACGAGAACUAUCUUAUACAAUAAAGUUGGCUUUGCUCUCUCCUCCUGCUGCCACCUCAGCAAUAUUCAUGGGGCAAUUGUUGACACGUGUAUUGUAUUUUUAACUAUCUGAAGUUGCAUCUCCCGUUAUGUUUUUCAUUUGGGCUUUUUGGGUGCCGAAAUUGAUAUUCUUUAAGAAGCCCAGGUCAAAUUAGGGUUUGGUUCAUUUUUGCUUGUGUCGCUCCAGAGAAAGUUCAUGCGUCUCUUCACAUCUCUCUAACUCCGGCGUACCUUUCUGUAACCGGUGUGAUUAUCGACGAUUGGCAACAUUAAUUCAAGCAUAACGCCUACUGCACCACUCCUCUCCAAUUAAAGCAGGCAUCUAUCUUCCCAAAAAAAAUCAACUAAAGCUUACCGUAUAAAUGUCUUCGUCGCUUGGGAUGAACAGUCAUACUGAAACCAAAUCCCGAAGGUCUCUCUCUCGCAAACUUCAGAUCCAUCAAUGGCGAAUUAGUUUACUCUUCUUGCCUAUUUGAAAGCUGAUCACUGUUCAAACACUUCCGUAUACUCAGUUUCUGGGAGGCAAGGAAUUUUAAGAAAUACGGCCAACUCAUGGAUGUCGACAUGCUUCUCAUAGACAAGCAGGUAACUACGGCGAACUACCACCAUGUUUCAUUAAAGUUUCUUACUCAUUUAACCAUUUAGAUACUACGUUCUCAUUAUUUCAGUCUGUCUAGCAUUCAACGCUCAUCCAAGGAAACAUGAAUGACAACCGCAUCGAGGGUUCAGUUUACUCGCUUAGCACUUGUCUCUUCUCUGGUGCACCUGUUCUAUUCGAUUCAGUGAAGGUACGUUUUUUGUGGAAAUCAAGGAUUCGGUUAAGCAAACUACUGAGCUCUUCAGGUUCUGCAAUCACGACCAACUGUUGUCGUUAGCUAAUACCAACAAACAACUACCGGGUACUCUUAUAAACUUUCUUUCGCUUUAGAAUCUUUCCACUGUUCUUACUGACCUCUAAUUUAAAUUUUUCAAGACAUUCUUGGAGAGUUCAUUGCAAUCAGAGAGACAAUCAACGACACAAUUAACGUCGGGACACAGGGGACACAUCGUGUAAUGCUGACUCUAAGCUAGAAAGGUAGCCUUAAAGAUUUAAAAUUCAGUGUUUGUCAUCUCUUACAACUUUGUAUGAUAUCGUAUUUUCCAAGAAUUUUAUUUUCAUUGAUACUUUACAGGGAAUGUGUGUGUUAGUCUGUUCGACGACCUAACUUUCGCAUUUCAUAACAAAUUGGAAAGCUACGGUUCUGAGCCAAAAGUUGUAUUGGUCACUAGCAUUAAUCCCAAGGUUGUUGUAGGUAAACUACUGAUAAUUUGUAAUGUCUCCAGUGUUAAGACACAACUUCAUCUGUAGGAUUUAUUGUGUUCUCAGACCAAUAUAUCACUAAAAAAAACUCACUUUCCAUCAUGCAGGUAGGCUAUUUGUUAACGGCACUUUUCCGAAACCCAUCUCUACUGUGACGCUGAGACAGCUGUCGGUCAAGGACUCUAUGAAAAGUAAGUACUUGCUUCAGAUACAGGUAUUAGAUAUAAACAAUUUUAUUCAAAUUAAAAAUAUUGGCAUAUGCUUCCUCUUAACUUUUCUGUGCUGCCACGUUUAAACUCUUUAGGUUGUUUGGGGAUGGUUCAACCAGUCUGCCUCUACAUCAAAGCUGGUUCAUGCCCAAAAAAUAGAACCUCUCACCCUUUCUGAGCUUAACCAAUACGUGUUGACCUCCGCAUCUCAGGUGAAAGUCUUAACUAUUUCAAGUUACCCCCUCAAUUGUGUAUUCUAAUUGUUAUGGUUCUAACCACCAGACCUUCACCUUCACUGAGCAGCAGCGUCCACCACUCCCAGACUUUGUUAUACAUGUUGGUACUUAAUACUGAGUUUUUUUCUACAUCUCUUUGAAUUAUAUAUUCAUGUUAAUCACUUUGAUAUCACGAGGGAGAUGGCCAGGAACCUAAUGAUGAUGUGCCUGUGGAGAAACCGGUAGCAUCUAAUGGCUCUAUUGGUGCUGAUAACACUUUGGCAGAGGUAGCAAGUGGUGUGGGAGCAGAAGGUAGUGAAACUACAAGUGCCAACCAUAGCCAUCCUCAUCUGUUGUUGCAGGAUUAAUUCGCUCUGCAUCUACCAUUCCCAUACUUGACCCACAUGAGAAUCGAAAAAGAAGUCCCGCAUGGCAUAGCUACUGUUGCCGAAGCAAAAUCCCCAUUUACUAUACUUACUAAGCAAAACUCUAUGUUAUUUUUACAUUAAUUUCGUUGUGGCUGUUUGAACUAUAUCUGCAAGUUUUUUAUAACAAAGCUUCGUUUUUAUUUUAACACAUUUGCACUUUUAUGAACUCACGUGCUCUCCAAGUUAUAUAUUUUUCUGAAACAGGUACGAAUGAAAUGUCGUACCUAUAUAUCAAAAACUGUUAUAAAGAAUAAUACAUCGUGAGUGGCACCAUACAUUCUUUGGACUUCAAUAAUUUCUCCGAAAUCUUUAAAAUAGCAUAAUAUAUAAACAAUGAUGAGCACCGGUCAAAACAUGAAAACAAUAUAUUUUACUGUUUUUCCUAAUUUGGUAAAAUUAGCCUCUGUUAAAAUUUGUUUCUCACGCAGUUACAAAAAAUAAGAAGAAGAUUGUUUUUAACCUAUAAAAAAAUAAUAGUAACUCUCUCAUUAUAGGGUGUCAUAUUGUGAAUAGAUUUUUGGGUUUUACCCUGACUGCGUUCCACAAAUGCAUAUGUUUUAUAAAAAAAAAUUAGAGUCAUCAAAGCAUUCACUCAAUUUAAUAUUUAAUAGUUUUUUCCUUGAUUUACUUUCGUAGUAUAUGAAAUUGGUGUUAAUCGAACAUACAGUAAAUCCAAACCGAUUCGAGUGGUAUCUGUUUUCUUUAUAAAUAAGCGUUUACAUGUUCAUAAAUGACUUCCAUUCGGGACUGACUAGAUUAAACAAAAGAACACUAGACAAAUGUCAGCAAAAGAACUUUCUUAAUGAUAAAUCUUUAUUCAACAAAAUCAAAUAUUUGUAAAGGAAAAAAUACCCCUGAGCUUUUAUGUACAAUAAAAUUAGUUUACUAUGAAUUUACUAAUGGAGUACUUCCCGGGCUACGGGAACUCACCACAAGCUAUAUCACCUUAAGCUGCUUACAAUGUUCAACUCCCAUAAAUAAUCAAAGAAUGAAAUAACGAACUACUUCUCAUUUUAUGAGUUCUCACAUCAAACAAGAUUUUCAGGAACAACUAUCCAGCACACACUCCAAGUCUACAUCCACAUGCUCAACAUACAACAAAUCUAUCAUUGAUUUCUAACUAUUAUCUAUCACCAACCAUCAAGAUAAUAAAUAUCGAUUUUUUAUUCUACUGUCGCUAAUCACUAUCAAAUGAAUCAGAAAAAAUCUUAUUCUCUUUCAACAUAUAUGAUUUUUUUUUUGUAACGGUAUAGCAUAUAAGUUCAUGUAUUCGCUAAUCACUCUCAAAUGAAUUAUAAAUUUAUUUCAGAAUAAAAUAUACGAAUCUGGCGCGUAGCGCCGGAAUACCACUAGUAUGAACCUAAAGGAGGAAUUCGAACAAGGAACCUUAAAAUACUAAUCUUAUCAAAAAAAAUUUGAACCACAUUAAUCUUAUCAAUUUAAGUUGGCAAAAACGGAUUGAAGUCAUCUUUCUUUUUCCUUUGAUAACACGGAUUGAAGUCAUCUAUAAUCCACAUCUAUAUUCAUUUCUAUAUUUUUCUCUAAAACAAAUAAAUUUUAGCACAUUUUUGGAGUAUUUUUAUGUUCAUAUAUAUAUUUAUUAUGUUUACCAUCGCUCGAUUUUAGAGUAUUUUUCUCUUGACUGCAUCCACCUUAAAAAAAAGUGCUAAAAAUAUAUAUAUAUAUAUAUAUAUAUUGUAGGAACCUUAUUUUACUACUAUAGGACAACUGAUAUUUGUAAAGAAUAAUAAGAACCUAAAUUAAAAUUACAAUACCGAAAUAUAAGAAUAAAAAAGAAUUGCAGAGUCGAGAUGGUUAAUCUCUUUCUUUAAAUCUUUAAACGCUCCGUAGUGUGACGGUUUCAUAGCGCUCAGAUUCACAUGAUACAACUGCAGCAUUGUUUCUGUUUAUCAUCACCGAAAAACAGAAUCUAUCAAACCUAAUUUUGUGUUGUACUCUCAGACUCAAAAAAAAAAAAUACUAACAUUCAAAGUAGGAGAAAGUGAUUUGUUGUUCAAAGUCUACUUUUUUCUAUAAUGCUUACAAGCCCUUUCAUAGAAAAAUAAUUGAAAACACACAAAUUUCAUUCUUCAACAAAAAAAUGAAACUUGCAUGGUGCACUAAUGGAGAUUUUAAUUCUUGUCAAUUAGUAUGUGAAUUUAUUUCACAUUUUGACCAAGAAAUUAAAGAAUAAAAUUAUUAUUGUUUUGACCAAUUCAAACAAAAUAAUAUACUUUAAAAUGAAUUUUUUUAAUAUAUUUUAUCAAUAUAAAAGAUCAACAUAUAUUUGAUUUAAGUUAAUGAACAUAAAGUCCAGCUAACAAAUCAAAACCCAAAUCCAAGAUCAAAUAUCUAAUGUAUGAAUGCAUUAUUCGUAUUGUUCAAAAAAAUAGUUUCAACAUAUAUAUAUAACAAACCCCACUAAAAUCGAGCGAUGGUACAGCUCUUCCUCACCUCAUGCUUCCCUAGUGCUUUCAACGACUAACCAAUACUCAAUUUUAUCCUUUUUUGGGCGGAAAUGUAAAUAUAAUUAACAUGGCAACGAAGGUUUGGUUACAAAUGAAUUUGAAAUCCCAUUUGCUAUAUAGCUAAUCCGAUCCUAAUUAAGAGCUUCAAAGAGUUUUUUUUGGAAAAACCCAUAGCAUCAAACAUAAUUCAAAGCUUGGUAACUAGGACGAAUCUAAAAAAGUACAAAGAAGCAACAAGCAGCAGCAUUAUAUUUUGUUAAGGUUGACGCACUAGUUGCUGAGAACAUGACUCUGAGGUCAAAACUACGCCAACUGAGCGAUGAGUCUGAGAAACUACGGCUGGAGAACGAAGCUUUAUUGGUAACUGUUUACUCAACAUAUCACUUAUAUACGUACUGCAAGUAGUCUACUUGUAGUGGAAAGUCAGCUAGCCGCUUGCUUAGAUUUGUAGCUCUCUACAUUCCGAGCAGAAAUUGAUCUAAUAUCAUCCUUGAGCAGAAAAGAUUCCUGAGUGCGAUCUGAUCUGUAACCACUUGACUGGUGAUGAAAGAUAGGUUUAGUUAUGGUGGCUUUAAUUAGAGUACUUUUCAUGUGAUUUGUGUAACAUUUUCCGAACUUAUUCUGUUUACCAUUCUAUAAAGGGAUAGCAAAUCUAUUUUUAUUCAUUUCUUUAUUUUUAUUUCAAAAUAGAAUAAAGUUUUAACGUAUAAUUCAUUUUAGUUAAGAAGUUAUUUUAUUAAAAAAAUACAUUAAACUUAUCUAAAGCGUAUUAAUUAUUUAUAUAAGCCGUUAUUUUAUUUUGAAGAAAAAUUGAGUGAUACGAGAUGUUAGUUUUAUUAUGUAUAUAUAUAUAUCAACGUGCUUCCCUCAACCGGUAAACGUGAGCCUGUUUGUGUUACACUGCAAGUUACUUGUGAAAACAUUGAGCAGUUCAAGUUCCAGAGAGCCAAAGGGCACGUCAGGUUAAUAAUUUCAGUAAGUGGCCAAAGUGUCGGAAAAUAUUUGUUGUUCUUUAUGUUGGUAGGAUUACGUACAAUCAUUUAUUUGUAUUUUAUAGACGAAAGAUCAUAUAUAAAAAUUUUAAAUAAUCAAAUGAUGAAAGAGUCAUUUUGUGACUAUAGUUGAUAUACAUGGAGAAGAACAGAGAUCACACAAGUCCUACGCAUUCCAUGGCCGCGGCAGAGAUGUUUCUUAAACCGGUGCUUCAGAAACCACCCGGCUACCAUGAGCUUCACGCGCCUCCUGAAACUCCAAACGCAUUAUCAUCUUCAUCCACGCUUCGUCGCCGGCCACCUAAGUUUAUGAUCCCGCCGUCCUUUUAUCCGGAUAAGAAGAAAAAGUGGAGUCGUUGCCGCGUCUUUUGCUGCUGCUUCUGCAUCACCGUCGCCAUACUCAUCCUCCUCCUUAUAAUCGCCGUCUCCGUCUUCUUCCUCUGGUACAGCCCGAGACUCCCCGUCGUACGCCUCGCCUCCUUCCGCGUCAGCAACUUCAACUUUUCCAACGGGAAACCCCGCGACGGUUUGUCGCACUUGACGGCGGAGGCUUCUGCGAGGCUCGAUUUCAGAAAUCCCAACGGGAAGCUACGGUACUAUUACGGCGACGCUGACGUGGCGGUGAGCGUAGGAGAUGGCGAUUACGAGACGAGUCUAGGGUCAACGGAAGUCAAAGGGUUUGUGCAAAAGCCGGGGAAUCGGACGGUUGUGAUCGUUCCGGUUAAAGUGAAGAGAGAAGAGGUGGAUGAUCCGACGGUUAAGAUGCUUUUAGCGGAGAUGAAGAGUAAGAAGUUGGUGGUGAAGGUGACAGCUAAAACGAAGCUUGGAUUGGCUGUGGGAAGGCGUAAGAUUCUUACGGUGGGGAUUACUCUCAGAUGCGGUGGCGUGACGUUACAGAAGGUGGAUAAACAGAUGGCUAAAUGCACCAUCAAAAUGCUUAAAUGGUACGUACAAUUACUACUACCUUGAUUAAUGAUUAGUGUACAUAAAUAAAUAAAUUAUUUAAAUCGCAGGAUUAAGUUGCACUCAUAAGCAAUGAUCAUGAUGAUGGAUAUCAUUUUUCAUCAAAGAUUCAUCAGAAUUAUACGACUCGAAGUGUUCAGGCUUCACGAAAGUGUCACAGUAUCUGAUUUUUGCUUUCCUUAUUGUUUUUUACUGAAAGAUUGCAUAUAAAUGAUUGAGAAAAAGACAAAAAUAGCACUAAAUCAAGUUUUUGUUCCCAAACUAGCAUUCACAGAGCCGCCCUUGCGCCAAGCCAAGGAAACAGUGGCUUCCGGCCUCAUUAUUAUAAAUAAAAUUUUGGCCACAAUUUUUCAAAAAUUACCUGUAGUCUGGUGGGAACAUAUGAAUGUUGCAUACUCUCUUGGCCCAACCUGGGUUCGAAACUCAAAAGAGUGGCCUAUUUUUUUAAACUUGAAUCUGGUAUGGGAUUCCUUAGGACCGGCUCUGAGCACUCAAGGUCAAAAAUCACAAAAAUAGCACUUAAUGUUUUAUCAAAAGUCACAAAUUUAGGGUUUAGAGUUAAAGGGUGGGGUUUAGGAUUUAGGGGUAGGGUUUAGGGUUUAGAGUUUAGGGUUUAGGGUUUAGGGUUUAGGGUUUAGAGUUUAAGGUUUAGGGUUUAGAGAUGAGAAAUGAGGUUUUGGGGAUAAGAUUUCAAAUUUUGAAAAAUAAAA